rnacentral:lncRNA from 1 species
UGCCUUUUUCUUUUCAUCAACCUUGGUGACUAUCAGUGUCAAAGAAAGCUUAAUUCUUCGUUCUGUUUUUAUUUGUCUCUUUAAAGGUUUGUAAAUUUUUUUUCUAUCGACCUUAUUCAACCAUGUAAAUGGAAAAUUUAUGUUAAAAUUCUUCCAUGCAUAGUAGGUACAAAGUGGUUGAGAUAGUUCACAAAAAUGUUAUGGAUGGCUUCUUGUGAUUUAAUAUUGGAGUCCAUAAUAUCUCUACACUCCAGAUCGCGUAGAACUAACUAGAUUGCUCAUUAUUUUCCCGAGCUUGUUGUUUUUGAAACGCUGGACGAUGCUGACAUUUGUGUUGCGUUCGCAGGUUAUGAAAUGGAUGAACAGGCUCCUGAUUCUAAUUACUUGCGGCUGCAGUUUUAUCAGUUCCCGGAUCCCAGGUCAAGACCUGGCCGUAACAAGGGGUGAUAGGCAUUAGGUGAUGAGAAACAUCCGUGUUGAUGUAAUCAAGAUUGCAUUUGCUCUUAUACAUUAUAUAUAUUGCUCAGGCUUGGGCACACACUAAUUGUAAGCACUUCUGAUGCACAUUGUUGUUCUAGGUAGUGAAAUCAGAAACAGUUUUAUAGUUGUGUUGAACGAUCUGAUUUUGCACGUCCAUGGUCUACAAUUUACUCAAGGAAUGUUUUAAUUCUGAAUUGAGAUUGUACUGUGCAUAGACUACCGCAAAAUUAGUACAGAGAUAGUUUCCCUAUAGAUUGUUUUCAUAUACUAGAGGACUUCCAUGGCCAGGGUAUCUUGCCACCAUAUUGUCCCCGUACAUUUUCCCUCCAUAUUAGUUAUAUAUUUAUCUGGACAUUCUAACCUAAUGAAGUCCUACAAUCAUCAUAACUCAUUUUACUUAGCUCAUGCUCCUUACAAUAUUUGAUGAACUCACAUAAGAAACUCAUAGAAAUUUGUUCCCAGUCAUUACCUUUGGACUGCAGUUGAAGCUUAUGAUACAUCCUCCCAAUGCUAAGCACUAGCUAGUGGGUUGUCGACUAAUCUAUGCCACCGUACACAUCGCAGGGGCUUUGAACUCUGUCUCAAUUAUUGUAAAGACGUUAGCCUCUUCAAUGAAAGAACCCAUAGUCCUAUGCUGCUAGAGCUCCCCCCACCCUUCUUGGAAUUAAUAUAGUGUUAGGACAUAUCGCUCUAUUUCUCACAUCACGUGACUAAUGAUUUCUUUGAAGUUACUUCUUUAGGAAACACUUAUACUACAAGUGCUUUUAUUAUAUAGAAUCUUUAUAAGCAAUCCAAGUGUUCAUUGAAAACGUAUUUGAAAGUGCUUCUUGAAAAAGCAUUUGGCAAGUGCUUCUUGAAAAAGCAUUUGGCAAGUGCUUCUAUAAAAGAGCUUAUUGGGUCAAAAGAAUUUCUAAGUUUUUUUUUCUGCCAAGCACAACAGAAUACACAUUUUAGCUUUUUCCAGAACCAAUCCCAGACAAGUUCUAAGCAAAGAAAGGGCGAUACAGCCUGAAGACAACGGAGAAUUUCCCUGACGUUAAAGGUUUUGUUUGUUCGGUCACUAAACCCAAAAAAAUAGAAAACUUGAAGUGGGCAAUGAAUUGGUUUUCGAUUUCCAUUAAAUUGGCACAACAUUCGGCAUUGUUAUGCAAAAAUAUACUUUUUUCUUAUCAUUAGUUUUACACACACUCUAGUCUGUGGUAUAAAAUGAGCUAGGGUUUGGUUGGAGAACAAGUCUACGUGGUAUCAUCACUUACAUUACAUGCCAUGUGGGCUGGAGGGUUUCAUUUGGUGCCAUUACUCCUUUUUCUGUUCUAUAAUCAUUUUGGAACUGGAAGAGAAAGUGGAGGGGAAAAGGUAGUUUAGGGCAAAAAUUUUCCAAUCAAUUUUUUGGCAGUGUGACUGUUUUCGAAAUAUAGAGUAGUUGUGGCAAAAAAGAAAAAGGAAAGGGGUAAUUGUACAUACACAUUGUUCCAAAGGGUCAGUUGUCCCACAACUUGUCAAGGGACCAGAGCAUUAAGUUGUAGCUGCAAGUGCAAGGAGAAAGUUGUGGAUUAGAUAGACCAAUGGAUUUGGUUUGGUUUAAUUCCAAGUCAUCGUCGUUUCUUCUUCUAUGUGGCCCAGCCGCCCAGGACUUUAGUCCUUAUUUGGCAGGUACUUAUUACAAGGUUAGAUAAAGGGAGAUGAUACAUGGAGAACGGUUUGCCAAGUUUGUUAGAGUGGAUCCGGAUCCAUGAGUGUUGGAUCUCUAGUAAUUGAAUCUUUAGUUAAAGAUUCAAUGUCUCAACGAUCUAUGCUAUACAUUUGUCUUUACGAAUUUUCAUUCAUUGUGUAUUACAUAAUAUUCUUGACCCUCUUAUAUGUGACUUCGGCCGACUUCUAUCACCCGAUAUCGUUGUGUAAUAACUUGAUGAGAUAGCCAAUGCUUAGGUCAUCUUCAAUGGAGAUGGCUAAAGGUCAAAAAGCUAAAAAAUAGUAUGAUUUGUUCAAAAACUCAUCUCCAACCAAUGUCAGAGCUAUAAUUAUAUGGAGCCCACCAUGCCAUUAUUUGGCUAGUGCCCCUUUCUUAGCCCCUUUUUGGGGCCUAGCUCCUCGAUUAUGCCAUCUGCAAUGAAGAGGGCUAAAUGUCUAAAAGCCAAAAAAUGACAUGAUUUACCCAAAAACUCAUCUCCAACCAAUAGCUAGGUUAUAAUUCUAUGGAUUCAACAGUUAGAUUUGGAAACAUCCAAUGUUAGUUUAAUUAAAUUAAAGUAUAAACUUAAAACUAAUAAAUUAUUAGGGAGCCUAUGUUUUAGCCCUUUCGGUUGGAGAUGGUAUAUGAGUAUGGCCGACACUAUUCAUUUAAAAAUAAUUUUUUUGUUGGGUUAUAAUUUUGGAUGAGGCUAUGUCUAGCCCUUUUGGUUGGAGAUGACCUUACAAUGAUUAAUUCAAAUUCAAUGGUUAAAUUUGAAAAUAUCCAACAAAACAUCCAACAGUAGUUUAAUUAAAUUAAUCAAUAAUUUUAAGUAUAAACUCAGAACUAAUAAAUUAUUGAGGGAGUUAUGUUUAGCCUUUUCGGUUGGAAAUGAUAUAUGAGUAUGGCCUAAUACUGUUUAUUAAAAAAAAAAUCUUUAGUUAUCUCUGCUAAUCAAUAAAACACUCAUUGUCAACCAAAAUCCUAUGAAAUUACCAGUUUAACCUUCUAAUUAAAACAAAACAUGAAUAAGAAAUAUGGGGCGGAAAUUUAAUUUUACACAAACAAAAUUUGUUGUUUUUUUUUUUCAAAACUUCAUCUAUAUAUAAUUCUAACAUAUCUCUAAUUAUAAAAUAAAUAAAAAAUAAAAAUAAAAACUUCCUACUCCCACAUUCUCUAUCACUCCCUUCCUCUCUUCUUUUAUUUUAAAACAAAAAAAAAAAUUUCACAUACUUUAUAUAUGCCCAUAUGCUAGUAAUUAUAAACGAAACUAUAUUUAACUAUUUCGUUGAAAAUGACCGUACGAGUAUGUAAAUUUUGAAAUGUGAGUUGUCGUUCACUACGCAAGCAAAGAUCGAAAGCCUUCAUGUACCGAGGGGUCCCACUCCUUGAAUCAGAAUAAAAGUGCUUUGAAAAAGUCCCUUUAAUUAUGUCCAAGUUUGGAUAAAAUUUGUCCAUGCAUGGCAUGCACUCACUGACUGAUCUCGUCGUCCUGAAGGGUAAGAGAGGUAAAUUCCAGAAUAACCCACGAGGCACUGUAUGAAGCCUGUCAAUUACAUCAACUCAUCAAGCUUUCAAUCUUUUCAUGGCAUGCCUAACUUCUGUGAAAUAUGCUCAACAUUUAACAUUUUGUAAACCAAAAAGAGAGUAAGAGAGAGAUGAUUGAAGUAAUAAAGUAAAAGCGAAAUGCAUGCAUUGAUAAAAGGAAAUUUUAACAAAAAAAAUUUCGGUACUGUUUACUUUAACAAAAAAUUAUAUUUUUACAUUAAAAAGUCAAUUCUAAUACUAUUCAUUUUACCCUUUAUUUGUUCUUUAUUGUUAAAAAUCAAAUUUUUCAAUCCAUUUUUAUUAGUUUUCCUUUGAUAAAAGGAGAAAGAUGCAUGGAGAACUGGUUUUUUAUUUUAUUAUUAUUUUUUUUACAAACAAUAAUAUUAGAGUGGAUUAAGUUAUUAGCUGUUAGCGAGAAGAGGAUCAAUAAUAAUCAAACUAGCACCCGGAUGUAUAAGCAUAAUUGUUUUCUAAAAUUGCAAUAAAACGUCACUUUCCAUAUAUAUAUAUAUAAAAAAAAAAAACUUAUUGUUCCUUGUAUGAUGGAUUGCAAUCUCAAUAUCGUUCUUAAUGGAACGGCCACAAUUAGUUGUUCAGGACAUAAACAAUAUGUAUUGUCUUUAUAUUUAGGAAAUUGGCUCUGUUAGCCUUAUUACAAACCCAACAAUUAAAAAUACUCCCAAAUUAUAAUCUCUAUUAGCCCUCUUUUCCUUAAAUACCACUAACUUGAAAGAUGAACUGUUAUUCUAUGUCUCGACGUUGGAUCUCGAUGGCAUCCAAAAGGGCCUCUCAACUCCCUUCCGACUGUAUCUCGACUGAAUCACGACGGCAUCUCAACGGCACAGAACUGAAUUACCCUUAUAUUUAUGAGUUGAUCAGACACUCCAAUUAAAUAAAAAUAACUAUAAUUAUGUCAAAAUUAUUUAGUCAGUCUCACGUAUAUAUAAUUAAUUCAUCAAACACAUAAACAAAAAAGUUCUUGUAUGUAUGCUAUACUUUGAUUUGUCUCAACAAGAAAUGACUCAGUCAUCUUUUUAUCUAUGUCCAUUGAGUUUAUGGAGGGCAACAUAUUGAGAUCUCAAAAAUCUUAUUCUCAUACAACACACUUUUUUUUUUGAACAAACGAUAUUAUCUACACUAAGGGAAAAUGGGUGGCCUAAACCUCACAAUGGGCUAGCAAUAAUGUGGUUCAAAUUCACAUUUGGCGAGAAUCAAACCUAAGACCUCUCACUGACAAGUGAAGAAGAAUAUCACUAGACCGUAGUCCUAAAAAAAAUAUAGAUCUUAUAGUCUUGCAGUGUUUUAGAUUAGCUAAAACGUUGGUAUCCAUAUUAACUUACCAAAAAAAAUAUGUUGAAUUUGCUACACCUGGAAUUUGUAGCAGAUUUGUCAUUUUAUAAAGGGGUUUUUAACUCAUUUAAAAAAAAAGAAGGGGUUUUUAACUUUAAUUCUUAAAAAAAAUUGAAAUUUAAUAAAAAUCGGAUGUUAGAUUACAUAUUAAUUAUUGUCCUUUAAUGUGUUAUUAACUCAAAUUAAUUAAUGUGUAUUUUAUUCAAUAUCUCACAUUAAAUAUUUGAAUUUAUGAAAAUGAAAAUUAUAAUAAAAUAUAAUUAAUAUAUCAAAAUUAGAAAGAAAAAGAGAAAUAAUUAAAACAUCAAAAUAUAAUUAAUAAAUGAAGUAAUUAACAUAUCAAGAGACUAAAAUUAGAUUUUAAUUUUACUCAUGUUUUUAAUUUAAAGUUAUUUUUAUCAAAAAUUAAAAUGAAGUUUCCUAUUUUGUAAAUUACAACGAUGAAAAAUGACGCGUUGCACGUAAGAAACAACAUCUAUAUUUUCUCUUUUGUUUAAUAUGCCAUCAAACAUAUCCAUCACAUUUUAAAUUUUGUGGAAGUCCCUCUCUCACAUUGAUAAAGUCUGGUUUGUGUUGGACAGCUGUCCAACAGACAACCCAAAAAUCUUCCAAAAACCAACAAACAUUUCUGACCAGUCAUGCAUACGUAUGCAUGGACCCAAUGGCAUAUAAUCAAAAAUUUUAAAUAAUGGGAUCGUAAUGUCAACUUAAAAAAAAGUUUCAUUAAGCUAUUUCAUCGAACAUUUAGUAAGCAAUUGUCAAUUCUUGUCAACAAUGCCAAAAGUUUAUGUUAAAAUAUAUCAACUACGAUAAUUUGUAGAGGCUUGUCGAGAGUGAUGUAGGAUACUACGAAGUAAUAUUGAGAACUCUUAAAGCUUUUCAACUAAAGUAUUUUAUAUAAAAAGAGAGAAAAGAAAAACAAAUAUGAUAGAAGAAAAUAGAAGAAGUAAGAAGAUGAGGUUGUAAGUUAGUUUGCUUUAGCUAUUUAUAAUGGUCAAAUAAAAUAUACAAACAAAUAUACAUGAGAUUUUUAAAGUUGUUGAGAUCAAGGAUAAUCAAUGAUCCCAUUCUAGUUUUGCCAUUGCAUGGGCCGGAUAGGGAUAUGGCUAAAAUAUAAUUCUAUUAAUUGCGUUUUGGGACUUUGUCUAACAACUUGGCUCUCUCUUGACUUGGAUGCCAUGGAUGGCUCAUGCAGUUUACUAAAACUAGUAAUGUACAAUUUUCAGAGACUAUUAAUUAUCAUCUAUCAGGAAAAUUUGAUUUCCAUGCUUGCCCUUUCACGUCGGUGACUUGGAGAUAAUAUUGUUUCUUGUCCGGAGAUGAAAUAAAAUAAAAAGACUUGCACGAUCAUACUGCAUUAUAUAUAUUACACUAUAUAGUCUAUGUUGGGAGUUAUAUAUUAGUUAAAGUAUAAAUAGUAGUCUGUUAUCCUAUAUUGAUGAAGUGCAUAUGUAAUACAAAUUGUAAUUCCUAUAUAUACUCCAUUUUGGAGAUUAAUGAAUAUAUGAGAAAUUCUCAAAUAUUAUCAUAUAUAUUUUUGGUAUUUACCAUGUUUAGUUUAAUAUAGCAUCAAAGCAGUUCGCUCUUGGUGACCUGUGUGCUUUAAUUUUGUGCCCCACAUUUGUCAUGAUUUCCUUCGUCUUGAAAAAAAAAAAGGAAAGUAAAUAGUGUUGCACUACAGUACAAACAGUGCGUAAACAGUGGUAUGCUACAGUGUUCAUGAACAAUAUUUUGCUACAGUGCCAUUAACAGUGAUCUACUACAUCACUUGAACAGUGAUGUGCUACAGUAUUAUGGUAAAUUGUUUUCAUUCCGCUGCCUAUCUUUUGUGCCUUUAUUGUUUGUGAUUUAAUUCAAUGGCUCAGUAUAAUCAUAAUGUUGUUAUGCAUCUUGGUGGAACAAAUAAAUGGAUAAUUGAUACUGGGACCACUAAUCAUGUGACUAGUGACCCUAGAAUGUUUGAUGAGUUAUGUGACUAUAUUCUUGAUCCGUAUAUUACUAGUGCAAAUGGAGCACAUUCCCCCGUGAAUGUUGAAGGCAUUAUCUCUCUUACUUCGACCUUAUCACUGGUCCAUACUUUACUUGUUCCUGAUGUUAAGUGCAAUCUUUUGUCGGUAGAAAAACUACUUGAUACUUUAUAUUGUUUUGCUCACUUCUACCCUACGUAUUGUUAUUUUCAAGACAUUCAAACUCAGAAAGUAAUUGGUCAUGGUAAAAGAAUAGAGGGUUGUACAUCUUGACUAUGGAGGAUACUGUUGUUUCCGGUUCAAAUAAUCAUCAAGUUUUAAGUGCUAAAGUGGAUGACAUACAUCAAAUUUGGUUGUGGCAUUGGCGAUUAGGACGUCUAUCAUUCAGUUAUAUGAAGCAUCUAUUUCCUGCUUUGUUUCGCAUUUGUAGUGAUUCAUAAUUCAAGUGUGAAGCAUGUGUCAUGGCUAAGAGUCAUCGUGCUUCCUUUCCCAUAAGUGAUUCUAAAGCUACUUUGCCAUUUGAUUUAAUACAUUCUGAUGUGUGAGGUCCGGCAAAUGUUACUUCUAAUGAAUUUCGUUGGUUUGUUACUUUUAUUGAUGAUUGUACUCGAUUAACUUAGGUGUUAUUGAUGAAGAAUAAGAGUGAUGUUCAUUUGCUUCUUCAAGAAUUUUGUGCAAUGGUGUAUACUCAGUUUCAGACCAAAGUUAAGGUUUUCAGGUUUGAUAAUAGAGGAGAAUAUGUGAAUCACACUUUGACAUGCUUUUUUCGUGAUCAGGGUAUUAUUCACCAGACGACUACUUUGUUUACACCCCAACAAAAUGGUGUGUCAGAACAGAAGAAUCGUCAAAUAAUGGAGGUUGCUCACUCAUUGAUGUUGGAUAAAUGUGUUCCUAAUCAUUUAUGGGGUCAUGUUGUUUUGGCUGUUGUAUAUUUGAUAAAUCGUGUUCUAAGUAGGGUUCUUGAUUUUCAGACACCACUUGAUGUGUUACAAAAGCAUGUUUAUCUUGUUUCUGUAUCAAAACUUCCUCCGAAGGUGUUUGGGUGUAUUGCGUAUGUGUAUGUCUACUCUUAUCAGCGGAGUAAACUUGAUGCAUGUGUUCUUCGAUGUGUAUUUAGUAGGUAUGCUAACAAUCAGAAAGGCUAUAAGUGUUAUCAUCCUCCGACUCAUAAAACUUAUAUUACCAUGGAUGUCACUUUCCACGAGGAAGUUUCGUAUUUUGUGAAGCCAUCUUCCGACUCUCCACUUCAGGGGAAAAAAGGGAGUGAAGUGCAUAUUUGAAGAGAUGGUAUGGAUGAUGUGUUACAGGCAGAGUUGGGGAUAGAACCUAUUAUGUUGCGUGAUACUGAUCAGUCGGUUAUAGAUAGUGAUCUGUCACCUAUUAUUCCUAAAACUAUUUUUACUGACGACAGAUUAGAUGUGCCCAACGAGUUGCUUGUCAGUAUGUCUGACGAAUUACUUUCUGAUGACCGAUUGCUUGCUUCUGGUAUGUCUAACGAGCUGCCUGAUGAUGGUUAGUUCAGUGAUGGUUCAUCCAGUGAUGAUUCUUUUAACAAUUUGGUACAAGAUAAUGACAUACAUGAGUUAAAUUCUGACGAUUCUUCUAUUUAUUAGUUGCCUCCACGAGCUAAUCGUGGAAAACCUAAGGUACAAUAUGAGCCUGAUAUGCAUGCCAAAUCCAAAUAUCCUAUCAACAAUUAUGUGUUUACUCAUCGUUUGUCCAAACCAUUUUCAUCUUACAUAUGUCAGCUAUCUAGUGUAUCAAUUCCAACAAAAUUGCACGAUGCCUUGUCUGACCCUAAGUGGGUUAAUGCCAUGAGAGUUGAGAUGGAAGCCUUGGAAAAGAAUUCUACUUGGGAUUUGGUUCAUUUACCAAAUGGGAAGAAAGCUGUUGGAUGUAGAUAGGUGUUCACUAUUAAGCACAAAGCAGAUGGUUCUAUUGACCGGUAUAAAGCCAUAUUAGUUGCUAAGGAUUAUACUCAAACCUAUAGGGUGGACUAUCAGGAGAUUUUUGUUCUUGUUGCCAAACUUAAUACUGUGUGUGUUCUUCUGUCCUUAGUAGCAAACCAGGAUUGGCCUCUGUUGCAGUUUGAUGUUAAGAAUGAUUUCCUUCAUGGUGAUCUCAAGGAGGAAAUUUAUAUGGAUCUCCCACUUAGUAUUAGAACAUCUCCUGAAAAAUGUGUUGUAUGCAAGUUGCAAAAAGCUUUGUAUAGUUUGAAACAAUCUCUUAGAGUGUGGUUUUGGAGGUUUACAAGUUCAAUGAAGAAGUUUGGGUAUGUCCAGAGUCAUUCAAAUCAUACUUUGUUUCUAAAUUGUUUCUAAAGCCACAAAAUGGUAAGCUAACUGCAUUGAUUAUUUAUGUUGAUGACAUGUUAGUGACUAGUGAUGAUCAAAAGGAGAUACAACGCCUUAAAAAAGUACCUAGCUAGUGAAUUUGAGAUGAAAGAAUUGGGUGAAUUGAAGUAUUUUCUUGGAAUCGAGGUUGCACAAUCCAAGCAUGGUAUUUUUCUGUCUCAACAGAAGUAUGUUCUUGAUUUGUUAGUUGAAACAAAUCUGUUAGAUUGCAAACUUAUUGAUACUCUGAUUGAGCAAAAUCAUCAUCUGGGCUUAUUUCCGAAUCAAGUUCCUACUCAUAAGGAACGGUAUCAGAGGCUUGUGGGGAAAUUAAUUUAUUUGUCUCACACUUGCCCUGACAUUGCUUAUGCAGUUAGUGUAGUAAGUCAGUUUAUGCACUCACCUAGUGAAGCUCAUAUGGAUGAAAUAGUCCGUAUUUUGAGGUGCUUGAAGAUGGCUCCUGGCAGAGGCUUGGUUUUCUCCAAGAAUGGUCAUUUGAAUGUCGAAGGGUAUACAGAUGCAGAUUGGACAAGUUCUAUCACUGAUUGGCGGGUGGUAAUCUAGUUACUUGGAGAAGUAGAAACAAAAAAUGGUGGCUAGGUCAAGUGCUGAAGCUGAGUUUCGUGGUAUGUCUCAUGGUGUAUGUGAGUUGUUGUGGUUAAAAAAAUUGUUGAGAGAUCUUGGAUUUAAACCCAAUGGUGCUAUGAAACUCCAUUGUGAUAACAAGGCUGCUAUUGAGAUUGCUCAUAAUCCAGUGCAACAUAAUCAAACAAAACAUGUGGAGAUUGAUCAACAUUUCAUCAAGGAAAAUUUGGAUGCUGGAAUUAUUAUGUUUCCGUUUGUGAGAUCUGAAGAUCAACUCGCUGAUGUACUUACUAAGACUGUGUCUAAUAGUGUGUUUUCCAACUCGCUUGACAAGUUGGGCAUGCAUGACAUCUUUGCUCCAACUUGAGGGGGAAUUUUACGAGUUAUAUAUAGUUAAAGUGUAAAUAGUAGUCUGUUGUCCUACAUUGAUGAAGUACAUAUGUAAUACUAAUUGUAACUCCUAUAUAUACUCCACUUUGGAGAUUAAUAAAUAUAUAAGAAAUUCCCAAAUAUUGUCAUAUAAAUUUUUGGUAUUUAUCAUGUUUAGUUUAAUAGUCUAAACAUCAGGAAAUACACCAACCCUAAACCUAAUGGAUUUUAUGAAGCCGCUGGUUUGGGUACACAUUAAUCUAACCUAAUUGCUCUACCACAUUCUAAACACAAAAUUUGUUAUAAAUAGGAUGAUUAAAUUUAUUUUCUCAAGCGGUAGAGUAGUGAACCUCACAGCGACGACAAUCUUCCACCCCCAAAUUCGGGUUUUUUUGUACUAAAAUGGUCUUUUAUGUAUAAGAACUUUACGAUAAGUUUAUUAAAAUUGGCUCUGUAUCUACGAAAUCUCAACAUCCAUACGUUACAAAAUGGAUUAGAACUCCUAGGAAAUAAAAUAGAACAUAUGAUGAUCCCUUUAAAGGGCCUUAUAAUGGGGAAGACUUCUCACAGAAUAUAAGAAGACGAAGAGGAAAACUAAAAACUUAGAACUUCAAGGAGAUGGACUGGAGCAGGGAGAAUGGCAAAGAACCGGAACCCAGAAGACCCGCAACGAAAAAGAAAACACUGUACUUUUUUUAGACAUUUUUUCACAUUUCUUCUCGGCCUUACAGCCAAGUAGCAUUUUCCGACCCCAAAUAAAGAUAGAAGGAAAAAACCAAAUUAAGGUAAAUAAAUUUUCUAUAGCAACUUGGCAAACAAAAACAUACUAGAAGAAAACAAGGAAAAUACAAAGAAAUUAAGGAAGUAUGGGAAACAAAAUAAAUUUAAUACGGGACCAACGACAACGGUGCAAAUGUAUAUUGUUCAGGAAAUAAACUUUUAGCGAAAAUGUGCUGCAAAAUUGACCAAUUUUGCUUCAUAUUCACACUCAAUUUUUUUAAGAAUUAAUAUCUGUAGAGUUUAGACCAAAAAUAAAAUAAAAAACAAAACCAAAAUGCUACUCCACUUUCUUGGUACUUAACUCAGCUCUCCACCUCCUUCCAAUCUUACAAGCUUCUAGAUUUAGAUUUGUCUCAAAUCACAUGCCAACUAACCUGCCCAGCUCAAUUUUAUUUUUUCUUUGGAAAUUCCAGUGCGUCUCUACUUUUGUUUUUCUAAAUCUUACUUACUCCCAUUAUAAUUGGAAUUUUAUAUAUUUAUAUGGAUGCUUUGUCAAGAUAUGAGAGAAAUAGUAGUGAUUCAAAAAGAUGAUUAGGAGCCAAAAAUAUUUAUUAUUUUAGAUUGGUGUUUAUGUUUUUGAACAGUUAAAAACUUUUUUGGUCAUUGUGUUUAUGUUUAAAAUUUAUUUUGGUCACUGUAUUUUAUUUUCUGCUAAUUUAGUUACUGUGUUAUCACAAGUUAGCAAUCUUAGUCCUUCUCAAUCAAACGUUAAAAAAAACGCACAUGACAUGCAAGUGCAGGGGUAACUAUGUAAGUGAAAAUAUAUCUUUGCCCCUGCACGAAACUGUCACGUGCAUUUUUUUGGCGGUUGACUUAUGGUAACGCAGUGACCAAUUUGGCAGAAAAUAAAACACAAUGACCAAAAUAAAUUUUAGAAAUACACACAGCGACCAAAAACGUUUUAAUUUAACCCAUUUUUAACAGUCCAGCCAGCUACCAUGAAAGCUACAACAUGAAAGCUGACUGUCAAAAUUUUGUUUAAAAAUUCAUACACAAUAAUCGUCAUAAGAACGUGCAAUAGGUACUUUGAAUUCUUAAAUAUACUGCAUGGUUACCCUUUCCUUUUGUUUUAUACAGAGAAAUCUUGACAGGCAGUCAAAAGCAAAAUUAUGUUCUUCUAGUGAUAUCUGUGUGCUAAAAAGGAAGUACGUAGCUACGUUCAGUCUUCACCUAACACUCCUAUUUGCACCUAAAAGAUGUGGAUAACAAAGAUUUUGACCAAAAUCACAUUGACAAGUACUUGCCAAAGGAUCACGGAACCUAUGAUUGUAAAAGAUAUACGUGUUGGGCCUGACCGACGUUAAUUAGUUGUUCAUAUUGAUUUGAGAAAUUUGAUUGAAUGAGGAUUAACAAAUCACAAUUGCUAAAAUAUUAAAAUGUAUUAACUGCGACAUAUUGGUUAAAUAAUUAUUGCACAUCGAAAAAAUAUUGACGAGUAAUUAUGAAUUUUUAUUUUCAUUAUUUCAAACAUUUUUAUAUUAGAAAAGCUAAAGAAAAUGAUUUAAAAACUUUGAAUUUUAAUGAUACGUACAAAAUGAAAGGUAAAAUAAAUAGUACCAGAAUUAACUUUUUGUUUAAAUUUUAUUUUCUAUUUGGCAUCAACUUUUGGUUUAAAUAUACUAUAUAACCCUCACAAAAGAAAAAGCAUGGUGUACUAGUAGCUAAAAGACAUAAAAAAGGUUAAUCUUAAUUUAUUAUUCUAAAGUUUCUUAGUUUUCAAUAUUUGGUAUAUAAAGUUUUUUUUAUUCUAGAGUUGUACAUAAAGUUAUAAUUUUGGGAUACUUUCAUACAUCCAUUAAGGUUGCUGUUAAAUUUAUCAUUAACUGAUGAUAUGACAUUUAUGUUGACAAUGACACGUAGAUAUUAAAAAUUAAAAAUUAAAUUAAUAAAAUAAUAAAAAUUAAAAAAAAAAAAAAAUUGGGCGUCUUCACCCUCACCCCUUCUGACCCCCCUCCCUUCUCUCCUCUGCACCCACGCUUCCCCCUCCCUCUUCGACUCCACCCAACGCUGCACUCCGAGGAUUGUUGCCAUCCUUUCAAGCCCAAUUUCGCCCCCAAAUAGGCCCGGGCAGUACUUGGCCAUAAACUUCAAGUCGUAGACCCUCUCGAACAAACGACCUGCCAUCUUUGCGAACUCAGUGGGGGAGCUGAGGAUGGUCUUCCUCGUCACCAGCUUCAUUACAUAGGCCGAGUCGUAGAGGCCGUGGAAGCUCACCCAUACGAGCUGCCCCCUGUGCACCCUUAAAAUCUCAACGAAACCCUCCACAAAAAUAUCCGAAUCAAUGCCGAACUUCCCAAAUUUCUCGAGAUCCAAGCCAUUCGCUUUGAGGAGGGCAAUGGAUUCUGGAACAUGGGGGUCGGUUUCCUCGUCAAAACCCCGAAAGUUGAACUCCCAGGUGCCGCCGACGUUGCCGCGGUCGUCGAACAGGGUGAUACCCACUUGGAUGAGAUUGAGAGAAUCGACAUUAAGGGCGAUAUCUUGGUAACGGAGGCCCUUGGAAGUGCCUCUGGGGGUGUUGCGGAGGAACCCCGGAAAUUCGGUGUCGAACGAGACGAUCGGAAAACGGCAGAGACACCGAUCGACGGAGGGAAGGGGAAAGGUGGGUGCAAAGGAGAGAACGGGAGUGGGGUCGGAAGGGGUGAGGAAGAAGAUGCCCAAAUUUUUUUAUUUAUUUAAUUUUUUUAGUUUUUAUUAUUUUAUUUUUUAAUAUGCACGUGUCAUCAUGUCAUUGUCCACGUGGAUAACACAUCAUUAGUUAACAGUAAAUUUAAAGGCAACCUUAAUGAAUGUAUAAAAUUGUUCCAAAAUUAUAACUUUAUGUACCACUCUGAGAUGAAAAAAACUUUAUUUACCAAAUAUUGAAAACAAAAAAACUUUAAGAUAAUAAACUAAUAUUAAUCCUAAAAAACUACUAAAGGAAAGGGUGAAAGAAAAAAUUAUUAGUUUGUGCUGUUCUCAUGGUAAUAGUGGUUUUUGUAUUGUACGAUCAUGUGUUACAUUUUAUGCAUUAUUAUGUGGAUGAAUGAAUAAGUUAAUUACAUCGCAUGUCAUAGGGUGAAUAUUACAUUAAAAAAUUCUUCAUUCUUGUUAUUCGUCAAAUUAAUGGUUGUGCAUUUGUAUGAGGACCUAGAUCUGUUGAGGAUGCAGAUCUUCACUCGUUGAAGGCCAUCCCUAUCUAUCUACUACUACUCUUUGGAAAAUAAUUGACUACAGAUGAUUGUACAAAAAAAUAAUUAAUAUUAUCUGAACAGCUCACCAUGCAUGUUCAGUAAAGUAAAGCGGAUUUGUUUAUUCAUUGUCUAGUUCAAACUUGGGGAGCAUUUUCUCAUUCUUGCGGUGAUCAGAAUAAUGUGAUUUAAGUCCAGUUAAACAUGCUUAAUUAUGCAUUUAAGCAUCUUUUAUUUAUUUGCUUUCAUUAUUUUUUCCUUCUUAAUGUGUUGUUAUUGUUUGGAACAACAAGUAAGACAAAUCUAGCCAGUUAGCAUUCACCGCAUCACCGCAUAAUGAAAGAUUAUUCAUAUUUGGAAAUGAAUAAUUAAUUAAAAAACUGUAUUAUUAAGGCAAAUGGGCACUUAAUAUUUGUAUCUUAAACCUUCCGAGUCGGAUAUUCGAGUAAAUUAGUUAAAAAGCUAUGCAAAAUGUGAAUGUGACAGACUACGUAGUAAAGUUUGGGUUAAGAGAGAGAGAGAGAGAGAGAGAGAGUAUUUCGCAGCCGGCUGGUCCCUAUGUACGGGAAGAAUCAUAGAAAGUUAGGUAACUACACACAUUUUUCAAAGAUGUCGAUCAUGAAAAAUAUUUGAUAACAAAUUCAGGGAGGACAUACUGCUUAAAUUAUUAACCUAGAAAUAAAGUUCGAUCUCUUGCUUUAACUUUUCUGCUACGUAGCUCUUAUUGCAUUAAACAAAGCCUUAUUAAAGUAAAGAUGGUCACACCCUUAGCCCUUUAGGUGAUACGUUCAGGGAAAUGGUUAAUGUUUUUACAAGCUCUUGUUUAUUUUUAUUUUUUAAUAUUUUCAGAUAUUUUUACAAUCUUUUACUGCGCAGUAAUAGAGUGUAAAAAUCAUAUCUAUGUAUUUAUUUAUUAUUAACUAUGUUUACAAUGAACCUUCUAUUCCAUGAAACAAGAUAUAAAAAUAAAAAUAAAAAGGAGAAGGGCAUAAAUUAACAAAAUUCGGUCAAAGGCCGCAUUGGUCCAAACAUUAAUUGAUAAUCUAUGACAAAUAGUCUGGCCCCAUUAGCAUUAUUUUAACAGUAAUAUUGUUUUUUUACUAAGAUAAUUAAUAAUUGCCAAGUGAAAAUUUGGCAUGAGUACCAUUGUGAAGGGUAAAAACCAAAGCUAUAUAAAGGGUGAGGAGGCUUAGCUUCAGAGGCAGACAACCAAAAACCCAUUCUUAACGAAGGAUGGGAAAAAUGGUGCCUUCACAAGUGACCUCUCUUGUGGUCACUCUCCUAGUGGCAAUAGUCUCUCUCACAUUGCCUUCAGAAACUUCAGCUAACUACCCUUACACCUCUCCACCACCACCGGCCUCUCCUCCCUACCAUUACAAGUCACCACCGCCUCCUUCUCCUUCUCCUCCAGUGCACUACUCACCACCUAAGCAUCCCUACCACCCUAAGUCACCACCACCUCCUGUGUACGCACCACCUAAGCAUCCCUACCACCCUAAGUCACCACCACCUCCUGUGUACCCACCACCUAAGCAUCCCUACCACCCCAAGUCACCACCACCAUCACCAAAGCCUUACCACUACAAAUCCCCACCACCACCUCCUGCUCCAGUGCACUCACCACCCCCACCUAAGGAGCCAUACCACUACAAGUCCCCACCACCACCACCCAAGAAGCCCUACCACUACAAAUCUCCCCCACCACCUCCUCCUCCAGUUCACUCACCACCACCACCCAAGGAGCCUUACCACUACAAAUCUCCACCACCACCACCCAAGAAACCUUACUAUUACAAGUCUCCUCCACCACCACCAAAGAAGCCUUACCACUACAUGUCUCCUCCCCCACCGGUGUACUCACCACCUCCACCAGUGCACUCACACCCACCACCAAAAAAGCCUUACCAUUACAAAUCUCCUCCCCCGCCAGAAUAUUCACCAGCUCCACCAGUGCACUCAACCCCACCACCAAAGAAGCCCUACCAUUACAAAUCCCCACCACCACCACCACCACACAAGAAGCCUUAUUACCCUGUUCACUCACCACCUCCACCUAAGAAGCCUUACCACUACAAAUCCCCACCACCACCUUCUCCUACUCCUCCUAAAUACUCACCACCUAAGCACCCCUACCACUACAAGUCUCCACCACCACCACCAAAGAAGCCUUACCAUUACAAGUCCCCACCACCUCCUUCUCCUACUCCCCCUAAAUACUCACCACCUAAGCACCCCUACCACUACAAGUCACCACCACCACCACCCCAAGAAGCCUUACCACUACAAGUCUCCACCACCACCACCUCCUCCAGUUCCCACACCAUCUCCACCCAAGAAACCUUACCACUACAAGUCUCCCCCACCACCCCCUCCAGUCUACAAGUCUCCUCCACCACCAGUUUACUCACCACCACCACCACCUAAGAAACCUUACAAGCCACCAACUCCUCCAGCAGUUCACCCACCACACGGUUACAUCUAUUCCUCACCCCCACCUCCUCACCACUACUAGAUAUUGAAAGUUUAAUUGCAUCAAGCUGGUAAGCUUCUCCAUUCUAUGCUAUUAUUCAUUAAUUAGUUAGUACUACUGUUGUCAAUUUGGAAAUCACCAUACAACCAAAUGCACACUCUGACGAAAUAACAUAUAAAUUCUAAUUGAAUAGUCUUUAUUUCCAUUUUUGGCUAAUAAUCCUUAUUAGCAUAUGGAUAAUGUAUUUCCAACAUAUCGUUAUUAACUUAUUACUCAAUUAAUAUUUCUUUUUCUUUAAAUUCAGUAGCCGUGUGUAACAAAUAGACCAAUGGCAGAGACCCAACAAAUAACAAUAAUAUGUCUUUGCAGGUAAGGGAAGAAGAAAGGUCAGAAUAAAGAGGGGCUGUUGAAGUCGAACAGCGCGCCUUAUUACCACACAAAGAAGAAGAGAGAGAAAAAAACGAGUCUCCACGCAGCUGCUGAUGUGACGUGUUUUAUGUAUGCGAUAUUCGAUAGAGGUUCAUAUUUUCCUUGGAAUAUUAGACAGUUGUAGGGCACUCAUGUUCCAUGUAUUUUAUUUCCUGUUUCUCAAAAGAGAUGGUAUAUGUAUGUUGUUUGUUUCAACCUUCUAAUGGAGAGGUGAUCAUCAUAAUAAUAAAAUAAAUACAUUCCCCAAAUUUUACUUAAUUUCUCAUAUAUCUGAUAUGUUUUACUCUCUUAAUUAAAGUUUCCUAAUAAUGUUAUAAAAACCACGUAUAUCACAUUGGUGUACCAUUUAUUCUCACAAGUAAUGUCACGUCAAUUAAUGAGUUUAUCUCAUUGAAUAGUAAUUGACUUGCUUACAUUAUAUGGUAAUAAUGUGGUGUAAAUAUGUCGCAUCGUCCUUAACAUCACUCUAAAUUUCUUGGUAAUAAUAUAUGCGAGCAGUGUUAACAAAUCAAAGGAUGAGAAAGAAGAAAAACUAUUUGCAAAUUCUUAUUCUUAAUAUUUCAUAAACACAAAAUAAAGAAGACUAUGAAUUGUUCAAAUGCAUACUAAGUGAUCUAUUUUGGCAAAUCAUCUUAGUAUUGUAUUAUUUUCUUCAAUUAAGUGAUCUAUUUUUUUUCAAUUUGUUUUCCAUAUUUCAUGGCUUAAAUUUGUGAUUACUUUUUCAACAUAAAUGUCAAAUACUUUUUCUAAAAGUUAAUGUUGUCUAUUAUUUAUCCGUUGCUGGGAAAAAAAGUUAAAGUGGUAAUCUUAUUGAUAAAACUUAGUUCACUACACUAUAUAUACAAUUGUCUUCCGGUAGACCAUCAUGGAUAAAAAAUCAAAAGGAUUAUCGAAACCCCAAAAAAUUCUCACUAGUAGAAAGAUUGUUCAAAUUCUACAAUGAACCACAAGAAGUCUAACUCACUUGGUCAUUGCUGAUUGACUAUCAUUACUAGGUUAAAGCAACAUUUUAAGUUUUAACCUAAAUAGGAUCUCAACAAGCUAGGGUUUGAGAUUAGUGUUUUAGGUGACGACAGAGCUCUUUCCUUUCUUUAUGUUAUCCAAACUCUUUUUCUUUUUUCAUUUUUAUCAAGAAACUGUAGGUCUCAAUCAAAUUUAUGGAUUAUGGAUUUUAGUUAUGUAUUCUUAGUGUGGAAAUUUGACUAUAAAAUACGUUGACACUUGUCCUUUAAACUAAUGCAACCGAACAAACUUGUAGUUAACAAUUUUAUUAAGAGAGAUUAUAUUCACACACUUCAAAUUACUUAUGUCACACCUUUCUAAUUUUUUAAUAUUUUCUACACACCACUAACACUUGAAAGAAAAAAUAUUAAAAAAAUUAAAAGAGUGUGGGGCAAGUAAUUUGGGGUGUGUGAAUAUAAUCUCUCUUUCAUUAAAUCAUAACAUGGUGGAGUGAGUAAGUGAUGAGGAAAGACAAUUACGUCGCUCAUAUGCAAAUGAGUGGACAAACCUUCCAAUGGAUGCAACGGUGGUCAUGAAUUAUGAUUGUGUGUAGGGUUUCGAGUUACCGACGUUGACUGUCAUGCAAAUUGAGUACGUAGCCACUUACACUUAAUGGCAGAGGUCGAUGAUUUGCGCUACGGAAAAUGGUUUGAUUUGCUUAUACCAAUUACCAAACAAAGCAAAUAUAUUCGUCCUUUUGGUUUGGUUGUCAACUGUCAAGUAUGCGUUAGAAUUUUUUAAUUUGGGUUAAAUAAAAUAAAAAAACAAUACUCAAAACUUUUUGGGGAUGAGAUCUGAGAAAUUUAAUUUUUUCCCUUCAUAUAUUAGGGAUGAAAGUUGACUUAAUCACACACAAUGGAUCAUACCAACAAUAAUUUAGUAUCGAAUUCAUCAUUCAUGAAAAUCAUAUUUGAGCCUAAAUAAAAAUAAGCAUGUUAUGGGGUCAAUCUACUUUUAUUUACAGAAAGUUGCACGACUCAGGCCCACCAACUUCAAAGCCUAAUUCAAGAUCAUAUCACAAAGCUUGGGCGACCUUUUUGUCCCCCUCCUAGCUAUUCGAGGGCUUGGGUAGAUCUCUCUAUGAAGUGCGUCCACCACGCAGAUGACCAGACCCGGGAAUAUCUCGCCUCCUUAAAUGUUGAUGUACGCAUCAUCUAACAUGCUAAUGUCACCAUUGCAAUUAUGAAAACGGCCAUGAAAUACAGUUUAAGGCCACCAACCAGAAAUUAUAGUCAAUGUCAACUCACCGAUCUACCCAUGCUCCAUCUUAGCCAUGAGAUCGAGGUUGCUCUUGCUUCAUUGCCUAUAAAUAGAGUGGGAAACCUUCAAACUUAGGACCUUCGUCUGAUCCAAUCUCUACAAUUAUAUAAAACCUCGAUUGAUUCUUCAAUCAACCCAACUUCUUUCAAAGUACAAUCCAAUUGCUCUUCAACUACAAUCACAAAGCCUUCGUUAAAAGCAAACAUUGCCUAUGUCCCUGAGAUCUUAAACUUUUACAGCUUUUCCAACCCGUGGUAUGAUUCGGUUGAUGUGUCAAUCCAACCACCCUGAUUUCCUCUUAGAGGCACAUGUUUUGGACUAAGUCCAAUUUGAUACCAGAGACCUCAGUGGACUCCUCUAGCAUUAUCUAUCCCUUCAUGGCCUAAAUCUUGUAAGAGUUUUUACAGCUUUCUUUACAAUUUUACUCAAUUUUCAUUUCAAGUCAUGUAGCUCGGCCCAUCGGCCAAGAUUUUACUUUUAUAUAAUGCUUGUAAUGUUGACUUCAUUAUGAAAUAAUUACAUUUUGUUCAUCACAUUAUUUUCCAUUUUCCUUUUUCAUGUUUUAGGCAAAAACACAAAAAAGUUACAUUGAAUUUUAAGUCCUCAUUCACUCAAGGCAUAGAAAAAAACUUAAACGAACUAGCGUCUCAUUCAAUGCACAACAAUUGGUUAAGAAGUCAGAUCUUUGCGCAACUUUCACACACAUCCAAAUACAAAGAUUGUCUGUUGACAGCCUCCAACAAUAGCACACCCAUUCUCUCAUUUUCUCGAGCCACCUCGUGACAUUGAUAUAAAAAAUAACACUCGGGGAAAAUAAAAGUUACAGUAGUAGUGAAAGAAAUUUAGUUGUUGUAAUAACUGAAUUUUGAAGGGCAUAUUAAGUAAUAAAAAUUAUGAGCAGAUAGUAUUUGCCCCAUUUGGCCUAGUGUCGACCAAAAAUGUACCUUCACCUAGAAAAGGAUUGUAGAAAGUGAAGUUAGUUCAAUAAUUGUCCUCUUUUUUGUUUUCUUUUUCGAUAUUUUAAGUGCUAUAUUGAGACUUUGGGGGCUUUUUUUUCCCAAAGCUCUGGCCUAUUCCGCGAAGAACUGAGAUUGAAUGGAGACUUUAUCAUUCUCACUAAUAUUAUAAGAAAAAUUGCACAAUACCAUUGUAUUAUUAAUUUGAGACAAUGGUAUUAAUUAUAGACAUUACAAUAGUGUCAAGAAUAAUGCAAAUAACUCAUUCUCCUUUGUUUAUUAGGUCGAAUUUCACUAGCUACAAAUAAGUUUAGCGGGGUGUAAGGAUGGAGACUUUAUCAUUCUCACUUAUAAAUCAUCAUAUAUUUAGGUGUGGGGUAAGGGGUUGGGGUAGAUUAGGUCCCAGGUUCGAGGCCUGGUGGGGUGGGGUGGGGUUGAAAAAAAAAAUCAUAUAUUUAGGUGUGGGUUUGGAAGGUAGACUUGAUUCCGCGGUGUUUUGAGGAGGAGGAGGGCAAUCUUAUUCUUGGUUUACCAAUAAGUUUAGCAGGGUGUAAGGAUAGAGUCAUAUGGCACUAUUCAAGAAAAGUUGCAAAACCACUAAAACUUUAUUUUAAGAGUCAAAUCUACUAAAUUCUUCUCCAAGAGACUUGAUAAAGGACUCUAUAUAAUAGCAAGUUGCUCUUUAAAUUUAUAAGUAAUGCCUAAUGGGGCUUUUAAGAAAAUAUUAAUAUUUAAAAAAAAAGUAUUAAUUUUUGUUUUAGACAUUGUAUAAGGAAAAUGAUAAGCAUACAUCCUUUUUAGCCUCGAUCAACACUUAUAUUUAAUCUUGUUCAUUAUUUUUGUUUGAUUUAUACAAUGCGAUGGUCAAAAAAAUAAAUAAAAAAUAUGUUUGAGAAGUUAAAAAUGAUGUGUGAAAAUCACCUGCCAAUAAACAAAUCUAUUAUUAAAACUAAUACAAACUUUAAAACUAAAACUCAUGAUCAAUUAAGAAACGCUCAAGUCAAAUUCAUAAUAGCCAUAAAACAUAAAACACCUAAAUUUACUAUGCCAAUUCAAUCAACAAUCGUAUUAUAAAUAUGUUAAAUCCUUACAUGAAUGGAAUUGUUAGCCCAUCAAUCCAAGUAAUUGAAUGAUCUUUGGAGAUUUACUUAAGAGCAGUAUUAAUAUGAAUUAUGAACUUAUGAGAGAGAAAUAAUCUAUUAUUCUUUUCUCUAUUAGGCUAUAUUAUAUUUAUUUUGUUAUUGAAGAAAUUAUAUAUUGUAUAAUAUUUCCAUGGGGUGCAAAAACAUCGGGGCGCCUUUUUUUAGUUGGGGACCUUGUGCAAUGUCUUAUAUUCCUCCCCUUCAAUCCGGCACUGACAGGAAGGGAGAGAACGAUUUAAAAAAUGAACGGGUUGAAUUUGAAUUGAUAAUAAUUAGUAAAUUAUUUAAACUUUGUUAAAUAGAAAAUAUUGUUGAAAAUGAAAAGUUAAACUGAGUAAUUAAAAUAGUUUUUUUGACACUUUUCACUUGCUUGUUUAACAAAAAUUUAGAGCUUGUCUUUGAGAUACUCUUACUCCUUUAUUUAAAGGACUCGGCUUUUCUAUUAUAGCUGUCGUAUUCAAUAUUGUUGCAAUUAAUGAACUUAAAUCAUUUCGUUAUGACCAAAUUAAGAUAAUCAUGGACAUGUAGAUUAGGUAGCUAAUUCUGAUUUUGACUCGAUCACAUCAAGGUUAUCGUAAUUAAUGUCGGUUAAUUUAAUAUGCGUCUCUGAUCUGAUUACAUUACCAUGGUACGUAAACAUGUGUAUCCAUCUGCAAGACUCAAGAUUUAUAAUUUUGUUUUGUUUACUGUUUUUACGAAGAUAUUUAUGAUUUGAUUUUAUAAUAAAUUUUUUUUUAAAAAAAAAAUCAGAGCAAAACUGCAUCAUGGCCAACAAUCCAGCCAGAUUCAGUUCAACUAUAAUUUUGGCCAAUUUUUCAAAGCUGAUGGAUGUUAGUAGAUUUGUGUGGGGAACACUGAAAAGGCUAGAUUAUGAAAUACCAGAAAAGUAUUGACAUUUCAAUUGCUUAAACCAACCAUGAUGAAGAGUUCUAUGAAUUAUUUUUCAAAAUUUGAUUAAAUUGUGUCAUCCAGAUUAACGAACAUUGUUUCAUUGAAAUUAGUUCAUCAAGAUUGCGUAACUGGGAUAGCUUUCACACUGUAUUAACAUACAAAGAGGCUCUACUUCGUUAGAGUGUUCAAACUGUACACGUAAUUUGACUGCCGUACACAUUUUUCUUAUAUCUCUCCAAUCAACUUUAUUUUUCCUUUUGAAUAAAUUAAAGAUAAAGAAAGAAAACCAUUUUGCCUUAAAUGGCAAGAGAUUGAUGAAAAUCUACUCUAAAGAAGGGACAGGAUAUAUAUAAAUUAAAAUUCAUCAUGUACAAAGUAAGCGUAGGACAUUUUCAUCAUUUUACUUUGUCGUGCCCAUAAUUCUUUGCUCUAUAUAUUUUAUCUUUGUUGGUGGUCGAUGCUUUGGUUGGCUGUCAAUUGCGACGGACUGUCGUAAAAAUUGUCGGCAACCAACCAUGUGUUCUUGCAUGCCCGAUGUUCUCGCCACCUCACGUGGAAAUUUCCAAUGGAAUGGAGGGCCAAAUUUCAGUUUUUAUAUCAAUUUGUUUAUGUUAAAAUUUUCUUGUAAUAUAAGUCAAUGGUUGAAUUUGCAGUAGAAACAAACAAAAUAUGUGGACGAAUUUGAUAAAGUACAAGAAAAAAAAAACUGCAACUUAAGUAGAUGACGUGAUUCUUCACCCGGACAACAAGGAAGAAGACAUGAAAUCGGGAACACUGGAUGACGAAGUACACAAAUUAAACUUAUCUAAUCCAUUUUAAUAAAUUGUUACAGGGUGGCCAGUGGUCGGGAAUAAAUCACAGACUCGCAUUUCAGAUACCUCACGAACUUGAUUUUUGUUACUAACAAAUCACAUGAAGGUGACCAAGAGAAGGUUGAAAUGUCAUUGUGAGACGUCUUUCUUACCCUCGAAAGAUGAACUACCGUAAUGAAGCCACCAACUCAUCUUUUUAAAGGAAAGAAAAUCUAAGCCGUCCUAAUACAUGUUGUCACUCAUGGGAAUUAGAGAAGAAAUAUUCGUUAGCCACUUACAGUUGGAUGCUUAUUAUAUUAACUAGUUACAAAGUCAAAGGUUUUUCAUUGAAUGGAAUCAUAAGAUGUAAACAUCUAGGAUUAAUAUUUGGAAAAUAAUUAAACUCAAUCCCACCGCGUAGUUCUGUAACAAGUUUAUAUGUCUAAUAGAGUUUAUAGAUCUAAUAGUUAGUUAAGAGUAUUCAUUCUUACUCUUGAAGUUUUUUUGUUGACACUCUCUCUUUUAACCAUUUCUUGUAAUCAUUACAAGAAUUUGGAUUCUUUUAAUCCUAGGAGUGCAAUACUAAUUCUUAAUCUUUGUGUUAACCAUAAUAUCAUGACACAUAUCACCAAGUAUGAUCAGCAACUAGGAGAACGAGAGAAGAUGCGUGACUUAAGAAAAUUGAUGUGAUUUUGGAUUUUUUUUUACUUUAUGCACGCCCGCUCUUUAAAAAAAAAGAAAAAAGAUAUGUGAAAGGUGAAAAACAGUUGUUUCCGACAAACAUAAUUCACUUUCUAUAUGUGUACUUUGUAUUUUUUUUCAUCAAGUAAGGAAAUGGUGAAAAGAAAAAUGUACAUUAAUCGUAUCAUAUGAUAUAUUGUUCUUCUCAAGACAACUAAGAAGCUAAACUUAAUGUCAGAGAUUAAGACGUUUUGUUGGCUUGUCAUUCAAGGAAAGCUUAAUACAUAUAAUAUAGAGUUGGGAAGGUUAAUUUGUCCGUAUCUUGUGUAAAACAUGAUCUGGAUUUCAAACCCCCUAGACUUUUUGUUGUCCUACUCACGCAGCCCAUUCCCAAGUUCCAACCCUCCCAACAACCCUAUCCAGGAAGGCCAGCGCAGAUGUUAAGGCUGUGACCAGGGUUGUAAUACCAUCUCCAAUGGAUAAGUCAAAUCAUAAGUGGAAUGUCGCAUAAUUAAAUUUAAAAGUAAAAAAGAAGUUCCAACCGAUAGUUUUUCCGGAUCCUGAAAGAGUGGAUAACCGUGACUUAUCACCACUUGUCUUAUUUUUCGAAGAAAAAAAAAUGUCAAUCCUAUGUGAAUUAACAUGAGUUUUUGGUAUCAAAAUUGACAUGAAAAAUGUGUUGGCAAUUAAUUCUUUAGUGAUUUUAUUGUGCGGGUUUUAUUAAUGGACCAAUUCUAAAGCUUAAAAAUUAUUUUAAUUGAUUUCUUUUUCAUAAUGAACCUACGGAUAUUAAUUAUAAAUUUGACAUUACCACAUCAAUCGUUAAAAUUAACAUUUGACAUUCAUUUUUUGACUUUUCCAUUGAAGAUGUUCCAAUUAGCUUCAAAUGCCUUCGAGUUGAACUCAUGUUUGGGUCGUUUUAGGCAUGUUCAAUCUCUACUUGCAAGUAAAAGGAGUCGGGCACGAACAUAAUAUUCAGUUCGAUACAAAGAUGAGAUAGAAUUUUAGUAUGAUCAAAAGCUCGUAAAACUCUUAACAUCCCAUAUCAUUUUAUAUUGGACAUGCAAUCAUUUGAAAGUAUAGAGCUAUGCUUAAGCACAAAUUAUAUCAUUUGAACCAAGCACCUGGUACUUGGCGCGACUCAUCAACGCAGCUCUUGCAUUUUGUCCUUUGAUUUCUUCAAUAUAAAACCAUAAAUAAAUAGAAAUGUGCAAGAUAAGACGAGUCUGAUAAGAUUUCAAUAGAAGUGUUCCAUACGAACACUGUGCCAAGCACUUUUCAGCUGUUGGAUCGACGGAAUUUUACCACUGCUAGGCUAACAAUAUAAUUUCCGUUCGAUCUCUUUCAUAAACGAAACACUAAAACAUGAAUCGAUUUAUCAAUCACCCGAUUAACAUACUCCAAGAAACAGGAAAACAAUCAGUCACAAAUUACUCGCAAAUCGCAAUUAAAACGAAAGAAAUUGAGAAAUCCGGACUAGGCUACAAGCACGUCAAGUCAAGAUCGGCAAAACAUUUAAUAAAACACCAAAUCUGUCAUAUUUUCUGACCUUCCAAAUAUUCAAGUCCAUAACAGAAUGAACAAGCUGAAAACAGCAGAUGAAAUAUGCACAAAGGGAUACACCAAACGUACCUCCAUCGCGAGAAAGAUACACUGCGUUUUGUGAUCGCAUCUACACCAAGCGCUUCGUCCGACAAAACCAUCACUACACAUAUAGGUAUAGAAAAUAUCUAGCAUAGCGUCUUCAUCUCAUUUCUCAAACAGACAAUAUUAUACAAUGACAUUCAACUGGGUGUUUGCUUCGAUGAGUUCUACAACAGACAGGAAAUCAGAUCAUCAAGCACUAAUCACUAAUGACAUCGUCUCUUGAGCAAUCUCUCUAAUUUUCUCUUUCCUUGAGUGUACAGUAUAACCUCUAUAUUCAUAUGAGAAACAAACGAAAAAAACAAAGCCUCAUCCAUAUCCCAAACACCUAAAAAUGAGCCGGUCAGAAUGUUGCAAAAAGAGAAGUUUCGGGUAUUUCAGAAAUUUUCUGAGUCGUGUCAUAACUCUCAAGUGCCAUUGGAGGGUUCUGAAAUUUCCUGAGAUUUCAUGCAUUUAGUUCAGUGUGGGGCUGAGAGCCUGAUAGAACAAGGGAGAACCAAACAUCAAGAAAGACGAGAGAGAGUGUCCUACCUGGACUUCUUGGAGGAGAGAUUCAAGUUGAGCUGUUAUAUCGGAGAAGGAAGGCCGAUUGGAAGGAACUGAAUCCCAGCAACUCUGCAUUAAUUCCAAAACCUUGGGGUGUCCAUUAUUCGGAAUUUCCGGUCUCAGCCCCUGGGAAAUAGAAUGUCAAACAAAACAUAACUAUUUAGGCACAAAAGAAUUUGGAUAAAAUACUACGCUGAGUGAACAGCCAAACCAGUUGGUAUGUACCAUUGUACAUGAUUUCAGAGGCAUAAUUUAUACUUAUUUAUAUUAUAAGCAACAAAAAUGUCAUCAGAAGAUACAGAAAUUUGUUAUUCACUAAGUUUUACCCUUUUCUUGCGUUUAUAAAAUAUAUGCCUGCUUUGUAACAGCUUUUUUUAGUUUGAAUGGGAGGAUAUUCAGACCACAGGGUUACAAACAUAAACUCAGGCACGUCAUCAAUUCAAACUUUAAUUCGACAUGUAGAAUUGUCAACAUCUGUAAGAUACACACAUGGCAGGCAACAGGACGAAACACCAUAGAGGAAAAUUUAUAAUCAAGUUGCAUGAACUGUGGAUUAACAGGAUUUCUUAAGCAGCAAAUACAAUGCGGGCUAUAGAAAACACGUCUUCAUUCAUCAAUAUUCAAUACACAGACGAACAGAUAUAAAUAAUACAUAUGUAUUAUAAAUGGAUAUACGAAUAAACAAUAAACCUGUCUAACUCCCAAGGCAGCUUGCAAUGGAGUCAUGGUAUCAUAUGGAACCUGCAAUACAAAAUCAUACGAGUUUGAAAAUAAAUAAAUAAAAAAAUCUUAAGAAGUUUGAUAAUGUCCACAUCCAAAAUUCCCAAUACACAGAGGAAGCAUACUUUGGCUGUUACUAGCUCCCAAAGUACAAUUGCGAAACUGAACACAUCUGCUUUCUGAUCAUAUGGUUGAUGGUUGAUAACCUUGCAAAAUACAAGAAACCAAUAAGAUAUUGAAAUAAGAAUGUAAAUCAAUGUCGUCAAACUACGGUGCAUCUGCUAUGGUAAUGACGCAGUAACAAAACCAGAAUGUUGACAUCCAAAAUGCAAUUAACAAAACAGGAAAUUCAAUGAACCAUAGCCUGCUUGCCAAAACAAAGGGAUAUUGAUAAUUGUUUAUGAUAAACUAAUCAAUCCAUAGAUCACAACAAAGGACCAAUUUGUGAACCAAGUCCAACGGUUUAAGAGUUGACAAUAAUUUUCACGAAGAGACAAAGCAGGAAAAAAAAAGCAGAGGAAAAUAUUGAACCAGAAGAAUCGGACCUCAGGUGCCAUCCAUCGAUAGGUUCCAGUCUCUGCUGUCAUUACUCCCUCUUGAUUCUGAAACCGAGCAACACCAAAAUCUGCCACCUUUACAACCUGAAGGCAAACAAGAAAAUGAUUUUCAACUGUAAAAGAAAAGAAAAACCUAUUUGUUUUUCCUAAACAGAAAAAUAGAAUAGCCAGGAUGUGAGAGGAGAUUUCAACCAUUUAUACUUGGAAAUCUAACCAGGAAACAGUUUACCCAUUAUCAUAAACAAAUAAUGCUGUGUUUAGCUUUGAACUUUACUUAUAGUUAUUAAAAAAUAUAAAUAUACUUGUCGAAAGUAGAAUUGCAUUACCCCACAUCUUUAAACACAAAUCUAACUUCAUCAUUCAUGACAUCCUGAAAGUAUCAAAUUCACCAUCGACAAAAACUCAGAAGACAUCAAUUCCAGUAUGUCCAUGAGAAUUUUGGUCGAAUUGAACUUUUGACAUGCAGAUAUACUUCUCCCAUAAUCAAACUUCAUACCUCAAAGCACAACGCACAAUUACCCCAUACAAAACAAUAGACGGUUUGGUUACUCAAGUCCAAUAACUACAACUUAUAUCAACUAAAGCAGCAAUAGAUCCACUGAAGACAUUAGCCCUUUUAAAAAAAUUACAAACAAAUCUAUUGAACUUUAUCGUUUUCCUGUCGCCUAAGUUAAGCUGUAUAUGUACAAUGACAAAUUAAAUCAAUAGAGUUAUCAUGAAUAUGCGUAGGUUACAUUUUGCAGAAAGUGAAGCUGCCAAACAAGCAAACAAUAACCUUUAAUUCUUACAUUGUUAGUGUCCAUUAGCAGAUUUGCCGUCUUUAGAUCCCUAUGAAUUAUGUUAUUAUGAUGCAAAUACUCCAUUCCUUUACAGACAUCAAUUGCAAACUUUAGCAGUUCUGAAAGCUUCAAGAUGUUAUGAUUCUUAUGCAAAUAAUCGUAAAGACUUCCACCGGGCAUAUACUCUGCAAAAAAUAAAAAACAAAUGAAUUUUCAUAAUUAUGGUAAUAGUACAAUACAGCAACAAGUCGGCACUGGACUAAUUAUACUCAUCUCAAACUACAAACAGAUCUAAACAGUAAAGUUUUACAUAAAGAAAUCAAGAUGAAAUCAACAAUAAAGCUCUAACCAUAAAAAGAUACCCUGCCAAAUACUAUCCCAAAAUUCUCAAGAAACAACAUCCAAAGGUAAUCCCAAAACAAAAUCUAUCCCACGAAUGAUUACAUCCUUCAACUCCUAACCUACAUGAAGCUUCAUAAUACGCACCAAGUUGCCAAAGGCUGGCUGAUUGACAAAUUACAUAUAAUAGGGAAUUCCAAUAUGCACGACAUCCAAACAGCUUAGAGGAAUUUAAAAUAUAUAACACACAAGUAAAAUCUUCCUAAAUGCUGCAUACUCAGAGAAGAAGUACUAGCGCAUCCAAAACUUAAAAGAGUAUAAAUAAUGUGUAAGUAUGUUCCAACAACAACAACAAGGCAUUUUCCCACUAAGUAGGGUAGGCUAUAUGAAUCCUAGAACGCCAUUGCGCUCGGUUCUGUGUCACAUCUUCUGUUAGAUCCAAGUACUCUUAAGUCUUUUCUUAUAGUCUGUUCCAAAGCCUUCCUAGGUCUUACUCUACCCCUUCGGCCUUAAACCUCUGUCCUGUAAUCGCAUCUAGUGUAAGUAUGUUCCAAGAAAGAUAUUUUUAGUUCCAUUAAUACUUCUCCUGAUCCUAAUAAAAAUUUUCAAAAAGAUAGAAUGAAAACUUUGGUUGGCUACACCUAUAUUGGUGGAAACCAUCCGAUGUCAUUGAUUUUUUGUAGAAUGAUAUCCUUUGGUCCAUAAAAGAUAUUUUAUGAGAUCCGUUUUGGCGAAUGGUAAAAGGGGAUAGCUUUUAAGAAGGGAAAUGUGAGUGUGUUGGGGUGGAUUUUCUCCCUUUUUAUGUUCCUUGUAAAAGAAUAUACUAUGCUUCACUAACAAAAUUAAAAAGUAAAAAAGAAAACUUAUAAACAAUCUGAUGCUUAUUCUUACUUUUCUUAGUUGCACUGCUUCUAAAAACAUCUCCACAUGUAAGAUUCUGAUACAGAAUGAACAAAACCUCGAAAGAAGCUAACUUAACAAAUAUAGUAAAUGUUGGAGGCAACCAACAGGAGAGUUCCAUACCUGUCACUAUGCACAAAUGUGGAGACUUUGUACAUGCACCGAUAAAGCGCACAACAUUACUAUGAUGGACCUCUCUGCAAUCAUAAAACAAAUAUAAUAUAUAUCAGUAUUGCUUAAUAGCAAUACGCAUGCCAACAUAACCUAUAAAAUGGAACAACAGUUUUCUUUUCCCUUGAAUAAGAGACAAUUUAUUAGUAAAGAAUAAGAUACAGAGAAGACACUAUGAAAAACUAGAAACAGCAAAAGGUGGAACCUAGCCAUGAAUUUUAACUGCCUAGAUGUGUGAAAUGCAGCAUGGGCUAGCUGCAUUUUACUUAACUAUCAGAAAAUUCAUUCACUUUAUGGGUUUCAAGAAUAGUUACAGCUAAUAUACCACAAAAUGAAAGACUAGCUGCAUUAAAUGUGAUUUUUUAAAUGACACAAUAAGACAUGUUUCUUGGUUCCAUUUGUAAUUACAUUUGGCAUAUUCUUCCAAAGCCUCGUCGAAAUAAAGACCAGCAACCUGGAUAUUCAACCAGCAAUCCUGGAUAUUCAACCAGCAAAUCCAGAAAACGUGAAGCAUUCUCUUGUCAUUCCCAGAGAUUAUAGGAAUUGUUCUUGUACAGGCUAGUAUAGAAGUUCAUUAUGGAGGAUGUUGGAAAAUAAUGGAAAAAUCUUUAAAAGUUUACAAGUGGAGAAGAGCUCUCAAUAGAAAUGAUAAGAGUGAUUUCAUAUGAACUCCCCAGCAGGGACCAGCCUAGAUUAAAAGAAGAUAAAGAUAGAAAAUUAUUCACCUUAAAAUUGCCACUUCUUGAGCAAACUCAUCCUCUAGAGCAUCAUUCAAAUGUUCAGAUCUCAAAAUCUUAACAGCAACAUCUUGACCAAGAUAAAUUCCACGAUACCUGAGAAUGAACAGUAAUAUAAAGUUAAGCAGCAGAGAAGACUAUAAACGAAUAAAGGAAUGCCAAAAAUAAAACAUAUCUUACAAAUCUCCACAUGACCCAGAUGCAAUUCUGUCUCCGAUCAUUAAUAAUCUUCGGUCUAUUUCCCAGAGUCCUGUCUUUUCUUUCACCGAUAAUUCUUUCUCCACAGCCGAAUGAGAAUGUGAAGAUCUUGACCAUGACCCCUAAAUUACCAAACAACAGAUACGUAUUACUAUCUUAUAAUUCUUCGAUUAUUUUAGCAUUGUGACGCAAUAUACCUCACUUCUAGCAAUUGCCUUUUCCAUAGCUUCAUACAGACCAUCUGUAUCCUGACCACAACAUUGCAAAGUCAGCAACAUUUGAACUCAGCACAGUUGUCAUAAAAUUAAUAUAAUCACAAUUCCCCUUAAUGUAUUCUGAAGACAUUUUCUUGGAGGAACUGUAGCUUUUUCGACUUGUCCAAUUUGAUAAAACCCAAUAUUUAUAACAAACAUAUUGGGAUGCAUUAGAUCCAAUAAUUGUAGCAAUGCCAUAUUACAGCCCAGAGAUAAACACUGACUAAAAAGCGUUCAUCCAUGCAUAAAAAGAGAAAGCACAUAAACAGCUUGCAGUAUAGCAAAAUCCAUAGCCAACAAAAAUAAGCAUAUUGUAGUAGCAAUGUACCACAUAUUUUAAGAAAGGCCAUCCAACGUUUCGUGUAUUGGAAAUUACUCAUUUAUAAUAUAAUAACAUGCAAAAUUUCAAGAUUCAAAACUCUGACAGUAGAAAGUAAUCUGUGAAUGACGAUAAACACAUUAUAUAGUAAAAGAAAACUACCUCAACAGGCCAUCCAUCUACCACAAAUACAUCUAAAGAGUAGCCAUCGCUCGUCGAGAAGACAUGUGCUUCACGGAUGUUAAGUUCCAAAUCCGAAAGCAAGGAAGAAAGCUACAGAAUGAUGACAUAAGUUAGAAAGAUGCGACCACAGUAUGGUUACACUUCUGCAGUUAUCUUGGAUUCUACAACAUAAACAAUGCAUAUAAUAUGUAUCAAAUGUACUGAAUAGUCCAUUGCUACCUUUAAAUUCAUUUUCCAAUUGAAUUUGAAGGCUAUAGAUUUUCAACUUUAUAUUAAUGAAAGAAAUCAUAAUGAAAAAGAACUCUUCCAAUACAACGUCUUCUCACAAUUAUAUUUAAUACCCAAGCUUACUGCAUUGAGGUGCCAGCGUGUGAGGUCUAGACACUAGAGUUGACACAAAACAUCAGAUGGAGAACCAUAAAACAUGAAUGACGGACCAUCACAGUGUCACAUGAAAACAAAGAUAGUUGCUUGAGUUAUAAACAUUAGGUAUUGAACACACAUUCAUAUUAGUGAGUACCAAGAGAACUGCUUAAGUGGAGACAGAGUAUUACAGGAUAAUGAAGCUAUCAAAUGAUGUCAAAUUUCAAUACCCUUUAACAUUGAAGAAAUUAUGUACAUGUGGACACUAAAACUACAGAAAUACUAUCACUUGAUGCUAUUCAAUCAGAUGAUCCUUUUGAUUAUUAAUUGAAAAAAGGAAUGCUGAAUCCAACUUCAUGAUCCAGAAUGUAAGUGCAAUAUCAGAUAAGUUUGUCCACUAUCCUAUCAUACUAAUCUUAUAUGACCCCUUUGAGAUAUAACUCGUUGAACAGUUGAACUUAGUUUACCAAAUAGACCUUCAGCUUUAAUUUGCAAACACGUAAGGGAACAAUCAGCAGAUUUUCGGGCUUCAAACUCUGAUUUCUUUUCAGAUUCUAAGAAUAUUUUGAAACUGAGAUCGAGGUAAACUCCAGGUGGUAAUACCAAACUUGACAACAAACGAAUAAAUUAAACCUUCUCAGUCAUACCUGGCUAAGAAGCUUAGGCUUGUCAAUAGUUGAAAAUAUUACUUCAUGAAUGGGAACAUGUGGUAUAUCUUGCCUGCGUUAUACAGCCCAAUGGUCAAUAUCAUUUCUGCAUAAUUAUACAUGUUUUUUCUUUAAAUGAGAAACAAAGUUUUACUAAAGAUACUCAAAAACACAGUACAAGACUCUGAACAAACUGGUCCACCAACAAAAUGAUUCAACUAAUGAAAAACAAAUCUGAAUUACACCUAUGACAAUGUAAUGGAACUUUCAAAAUUACCCUAUAAGAGCUUCCCAAUCUAAUAAGAUGUUAGAAAUUGGUAGAUCCCUAAAGGGUGGAGAAAAACAAGCUGAUAAGCAUAAAUGUGAUCUCUCAAAUAUACGGGCACAGUUCAUAUAAAAACUGCACAAUUAAAAUAUAAAGUAUAUGAAAAAGACCCGGAUAAAGGAGGAGGGGGAGGGCGUCAGGUAGUCGACAGCCGGCACUCCAUGAUCACGUCGAAUCCUUAUGAAAAUGAAUCCAGAACAAAAUCGCGCUAAAGCUAGGGCGUCACCCGUAAGUGGCGCGCUGUGUGGCCUGAGCACAGUGAUAAGUGAGCAAGGGUCGCUGUAUCUCCAUCGGCACCCGGAUGCAGUGUUAAAUGAGCAAGGGGGCCAUAGAAACUUCUUUUCGAACGACUCCACUCAAAGUUGUUUGGGAGCAUAUGCUCCUAUCAACUUUACCCGGGACACACAAAAGAAGUACUUUGAUCCUAUUAGACGGGGGAGGGUGAAGAAGCUAGGACAGAAGGGUAGAGUUCAAGAGAGCAAAAUGCGUUUAGGAACGUGGAAUAUAGGAACCUUAACGGGAAAAUCUAUGGAAGUAGUGGAAGUUAUGGUGAGGAGAAGGAUAAAUAUUAUGUGCCUACAAGAAACUAAGUGGGUUGGUAGUAAGGCAAAGGAUCUAGAAAACUCAGGGUUUAAACUUUGGUAUUCGGCACAAAUAGAACGAGAAACGGUGUUGGCAUCAUCGUGGACAAGACCUUGGUACAAGAUGUUGUAGAUGUCAAGAGGGUAGGAGAUAGAAUCAUGGCAAUCAAGAUUGUAAUAGGACAAGAACUUAUCAAUGUGAUUAGUGCGUACGCACCUCAAGUAGGGUUGGAUACGAGUUCGAAGGAGAAAUUUUGGGAAGAUCUUGGAGACUUGGUGCAAGGAAUUGCUCAGACGGAGAAGUUAUUUAUAGGAGGAGAUUUAAAUGGACACGUGGGCAGGGAGACAGGCAACUAUGGAGGUUUUCAUGGUGGCCAUGGUUUUGGGGAGAGAAACGAGGAUGGGGAAGCUAUCUUGGAUUUUGCAAUGGCAUAUGAUCUCUUCUUAGCCAACACCUUCUUUAAGAAGAGAGAAGAACAUGUGAUCACCUACAAGAGUGGGUCGUCAAAAACACAAAUAGAUUUUCUUCUAAUGAGGAAAGGGGAUCGUAUAACUUGUAAGGAUUGCAAAGUUAUACCAGGAGAGAGCGUGGCUAAUCAACAUCGCUUGUUGGUGAUGGAUGUACAUAUCAAAAGAGUAAGACAAAAGAACAAGACUUGGAAGUGCCCAAGGACUAGAUGGUGGAAUCUAAAAGAAGAAAAACAAGCCAUUUUCAAAGAGAAGGUAAUCACCCAAUGUGUGUGGGAUAGAGAGGGGGAAGCUAGCCAAAUGUGGGAUUCCAUGGCUAGUUGUAUCCGAAAAGUAGCAAAAGAGGUAUUAGGAGAGUCCAAGGGCUUUGCCCCACACCAAAAGGAAUCUUGGUGGUGGAAUGAGGAGGUACAAACAAAGGUGAAGGCUAAGAAGGAAUGUUGUAAAGCCUUAUACAAGGAGAGGACUGAUGAAAAUGGUGAAAGGUAUAGAAAAGCGAAGCAAGAGGCGAAGAAAGCUGUCAGAGAAGCUAAGUUAGCGGCUUACGACGAUAUGUAUAAACGACUAGAUACCAAAGAAGGAGAGUUGGAUAUCUAUAAACUAUCUAGAGCAAGGGAAAAAAGAAGACAAGGGACCUAAACCAAGUGAGGUGCAUCAAGGAUGAGGAUGGAAAGGUUCUUGCUACAGAGAACGCGGUUAAAGACAGAUGGAGAGGUUAUUUUCAUAAUCUUUUCAAUGAAGGACAUGAAAUGAGUGCUUCUUUAGGGGAGUUGAGUAACUCAGAAGAGUGUAGAAACUACUCUUUUUAUCGUCGAAUCCGGAAGGAAGAAGUGGUUGUAGCUUUGAAGAAGAUGAAGCAUAAAAAAGCAAUAGGCCCAGACGAUAUACCAAUCGAAGUGUGGAAACUUUUGGGAGAGACAGGUAUAACAUGGCUCACUGACCUUUUCAAUAGGAUUUUGAAAACGAAGAAGAUGCCAAAUGAGUGGCGAAUGAGCACUUUGGUGCCUAUCUACAAGAAUAAGGGCGACGUACAAAAUUGCAUGAACUAUAGGGGUAUUAAGCUAAUGAGUCAUACAAUGAAGCUCUGGGAGAGAGUCAUUGAGCAUAGAUUGAGGCAAGAGACACGGGUUUCGGACAACCAAUUCGGGUUCAUGCCAGGGCGCUCAACCAUGGAGGCAAUCUAUCUCUUACGAAGAUUGAUGGAAAUAUAUAGAGAUGGGAAAAAGGAUUUACACAUGGUCUUUAUAGAUUUGGAAAAAAGCGUAUGAUAGGGUCCCAAGAGACAUUCUUUGGAGGAUUUUAGAGAAGAAAGGAGUAGUACGAGUAGCAUAUAUCCAAGCUAUAAAGGAUAUGUAUGAAGGAGCAAAGACUGCCGUAAGAACUCAUGAAGGACAAACCGAAAGCUUUCCCAUAACUGUAGGAUUACAUCAAGGCUCAUCCUUAAGUCCUUACCUUUUUGCGUUGGUAAUGGAUGAGUUAACACGACAUAUUCAAGAUGAUAUUCCUUGGUGUAUGCUUUUCGCAGACGAUAUAGUGUUGAUAGAUGAAACUCAGGAAGGGGUAAAUGCAAAGCUUAACCUUUGGAGAGAAGUGUUGGAAUCUAAAGGUCUUCGCCUAAGCCGAUCAAAGACAGAAUAUAUGGAGUGCAAGUUCAGUGCAAAUGGAGGCCAAAACGAGUUAGGGGUGAGGAUCGGAGAUCAAGAAAUACCAAAGAGCGACCGUUUUCGUUACCUAGGAUCUAUCUUUGCAAAAGAACGGAGAAUUAGAUGGAGAUCUCAACCAUAGAAUACAAGCUGGAUGGAUGAAGUGGAAGAGUGCAUCCGGCGUGUUGUGUGACCGCCGUAUGCCACUGAAGCUCAAGGGAAAAUUUUAUAGGACGGCAAUAAGGCCGGCGAUGCUGUAUGGCACAGAAUGUUGGGCGGUGAAACAUCAACACGUACACAAAAUGGGUGUAGCGGAGAUGAGGAUGCUUCGUUGGAUGUGUGGGCACACGAGAAAGGAUAAGAUUAGGAAUGAGGAUAUCCGGGGUAAAGUAGGAGUAGCCGAAAUUGAAGGAAAGAUGAGAGAAAAUCGGUUACGGUGGUUUGGACAUGUGCAAAGAAGGCCUACUGACGCUCCGAUUAGAAGAUGCGACUAUGGGACAGAGGUUCAGGGCCGAAGGGGUAGAGGAAGACCUAGGAAAACUUUGGAAGAGACUCUAAGAAAAGACUUAGAGUACUUGGAUCUAACGAAGGAGGACAUGACACAGGAUCGAGCACAAUGGCGUUCUAAGAUUCAUAUAGCCGAUCCCACUCAGUGACUUGGAUUUUCCAAGUCUCCAACCGAGAAGUUUUCCUCACUCGGGAAAUUAAGGGAACACUACCCCAACCUACAUGCUCCACUCAGAAAGCUUCAACAUACAAGCUUCAACAAAAGAAAAUUCAAAGAACUUAGCGAAGAAGGCUUUGGUGUAUUUAACACAAUACGUUGAAAUGAAGGAAAGCUUAUUUAUUGAUAUCCCCGAUAAGCUACAAAUAUGUACAUAUACAUGAGUCAAAAUAAACACAAGAGGGAGCCUUCACAAAGGUUGCUUAGGAGAAGUCUCAGCAGUCGGUAGAGCCCCAGAAAGAGAAGGCACCGGAGGGGGAUCAUUUGGAGCCUCAGUACUGGACAGAACCCUAGAAGGAGGAGGCAUCAGAGGUUGAUCAUUUGGAGCUUCAUUACGCGGUACAGCCCCAGAAGACGAAGGCAAUAAAUGCCUUUGGAACAAACCCACAAAUCUCUGAUGAUCAAGUAAAACCUGACCAUCAGUUUCCUUCAUCUGGUCAAGCUUCCUCUUCAUGUUUGUAGCAUAGUCAUGUGCGAGCCGGUGCAACUGUUUAUUCUCAUGCUUGAGCCCUCUAAUCUCCUGUUUGAGACUCAUCACUUCAGCCGCCAAUGAUUCAACUUGGCGGGUUCGAGCAAAUAGGCGUUGGGCCAUAUUAGACACAGAACCUGCACACUGAACACUGAGAGCCAGCGAAUCCUUAACAGCUAACUCAUCAGACCGUUUGGAAAGUAGUCUGUUAUCUUUGGGAGUGAGAAGGUUCCUGGCCACCACCGCAGCGGUCAUAUCAUUCUUCAUCACGGAAUCCCCAACGGUAAGAGGACCAGUAGGGGAGACGAAGGAUGGGCGCCAUAUGUUGUCUGGAGAAGGCGGGGCUGCCUCUUCAACAAGGUUCAAGUCAAAACGACGGUCGGAGGGGCCAGACAUUUUCAAAGGUGUUGAAGAGAGAAGAGGUCGGACAAAUCAAGAUCUUAGAAGUGCAAGAAUGAAGCUUCUACUGGUGGAGAUUCAAGUGUGCUUUGGAACUUAAUGCCAGCCCCUAUAUAAAAAUCUGCACUCGACGAAGCUUUAGAAAUCGAAGAGGCGCCUGCUCAGAAAUCGAAGAGGCGUUUGCUUUCUCAAAAGCUGGGCUGCUUAGAGAUCACGAGGGUUGAUCUCAGAAAUCGAAGAGGUGUUUGCUUUCUCAAAAGUUAGGCUGCUCAAAGACCACGAAGGCCGAUCUCAAAAAUCGAAGAGGCGCUCGCUUUCUCAAAAGCUGGGCUCCCCAGAGACCACGGGGGCCGAUAUCAGAAAUCGAAGAGGCACCUACUUUUCCAGCCUUUUCCAGCCUUGUCAGCACCUGUCACACGCACACUCAGUUUUGCGGAAAUUAUGGGCAUUCUGUCAAAGACUUCUGGGGAAGUAGAAAACACAUGAAUCUUACUGUUCAAUCACCCACUUCCCACACGCAACAAUAGCUCAUGGGUACCACAGAUAACUUUGCCAAAGUUCUCUGCCAAAGUUGAGCACGUGAAGCUUGCAGCUCCUACUACAUCGCUCUGACCAAGAAGGGUAAAAGAAUAGCAAAGAAACAGCACUAACAAAGUUUAGACCCAUAAAUUUUGAAGGUCUAGCUACCAUAUUAUUACCCACAAGGGUAAAGGAACAGUACCACUGCUGGAUAAUUGGAAAGUCCCUGUGUGUCAACCUCUGUGCUUCGUGGCAAGGUAGACUAGCAAACAUGCCCAACCUUUACUCACAUUCGAGAAAACACUCCCAAUAAGAUUGCUUGCUCCAAAAUCGAAGAGGCACCGUCCUCCGAAUCUCGAGAGCCAGACUCCCAACAUGACUACUUUCUUAAAAAUCGAAGAGAGAGGGUAAAGGAACAGUACCAUUGCUGGAUAAUUGGAAAGUCCCUGUGUGUCAACCUCUGUGCUUCGUGGCAAGGUAGACUAGCAAACAUGCCCAACCUUUACUCACAUUCGAGAAAAACACUCCCAACAAGAUUGCUUGCUCCAAAAUCGAAGAGGCACCGCCCUCCGAAUCUCGAGAGCCAGACUCCCAACAUGAUUACUUUCUCAAAAAUCGAAGAGACACUGCUCCCCGAAUCUCGAGAGCCAGACCCCCAGCAUGAUUGCUUUUUCAAAAAUCGAUGAGGCAUCGUUCUCCGAAUCAAUCGAAGAGGCGCUCGCUUUCUCAAAAGCUGGGCUGCUCAGAGACCACGAGGGCCGAUCUCAGAAAUCGAAGAGGCACCUACUUUUCUAGCCUUGUCAGCACCUGUCACACGCACACUCAGCUUUGCAGAAAUUAUGGGCAUUCUGUCGAAGACUUCUGGUGAAGUAGAAAGCACAUGAAUCUUACUGUUCAAUCACCCACUUCCCACACGCAACAAUAGCUCAUGGGUACCACAAAUAACUUUGCCAAAGUUCUCUGCCAAAGUUGAGCACGUGAAGCUUGCAGCUCCCACUACAUCGCUCUGACCAAGAAAGGUAAAAGAAUAGCAAAGAAACAGCACUAACAAAAGUUUAGACACAUAAAUUUUUGAAGGUCUAGCUACCAUAUUAUUACCCACAACUGUAAAGGAACAGUACCACUGCUGGAUAAUUGGAAAGUCCAUGUGUGUCAACCUCUGUGCUUCGUGGCAAGGUAGACUAGCAAACAUGCCCAACCUUUACUCACAUUCGAGAAAACACUCCCAAUAAGAUUGCUUGCUCCAAAAUCGAAGAGGCACCGACCUCCGAAUCUCGAGAGCCAGACUCCCAACAUGAAUACUUACUCAAAAUCGAAGAGAGGGUAAAGGAACAGUACCAUUGCUGGAUAAUUGGAAAGUCCCUGUGUGUCAACCUUUGUGCUUCGUGGCAAGGUAGACUAGCAAACAUGCCCAACCUUUACUCACAUUCGAGACAACACUCCCAACAAGAUUGCUUGCUCCAAAAUCGAAGAGGCACCGCCCUCCGAAUCUCGAGAGCCAGACUCCCAACAUGAUUACUUCCUCAAAAAUCGAAGAGACACUGCUCUCCGAAUCUCGAGAGUCAUACCCCCAGCAUGAUUGCUUUCUCAAAAAUCGAAGAGGCAUCGUUCUCCGAAUCUCGAGAGCCAGAUACCACAGACCACUUUUUCAAAGUGCUCUGACAGAGUUAAAACAUGUGAAACUGGCAGCUCCCACUACCGUGCUAUGACCAAGCAGGGUAAAGGAAUAGCAUUACUACUUGUUGUUAGGGAGACUCCUAUAUAUGUCGACCUCCAUCCCCAACGGACAGGCAGACCUGCAAAAAUGCUCAACCCUUCAUCAUAUCUGAGAGGGCACUCCCAACGAAGCCUUUCGAAAUAUUCAGCUUUCUUUCCCCCCGAUAAUACCUCUGCAAACAAGCUAUACUAGAGCAAGAAUAUCUCAUAUCAUCAGGGUUAAAAGCAAGAGUAUCCCAUAUCAUGCUUUUUCCCUGUCUUUUCUUUUUGGCCUUGUUUUUACCUGCAAGACAAGGAGAAAGAGAGCAAUCAGUCAGCACUUGGAAUCAAGCUUCCAGCCAGGAACUGACUGCCUGGAACCCCUUACCUGAUUACUUACCUGGCAUUGCUCUCGAGUACUCAUCUUCAACAUCUUAUGUUUCCAGGGAAGAUUCCGCAUCUGCUUGAGGAACAGAUAGGGCAAGUGCGAAGGAUACAAGGAAGCAUGUGGAGACAAGCGUAACAGCACACGUGCCGAUACAUUCAUUACUCUGUCAAAAGCAAAAGUAUCCCAUAUCAGCAGGGUGGAACGUACUCUAGAUUUGAUGGACUUGUUUUGACCCUCAAAUUCUUCAGUCGGCCUUAUACUCUGGAGAAAACCAGAAAACCCUCCAGCUCAGUUCAAGAAUAAGCCUGUGGAAAGUUACUUCUUCAAAAGCAAAAGUAUCUCAUAUCAUCUCUUCUCAUUUUUCUUCUCUUUUAUCCUUCAUGCUGCUGCAAGAUGGGGAGAAGGUGAACAAUCAGUCGGAGCUCUGAUUGCUUACCUUGUCUGUCACCUCUUUCAGCAGACCCCUAGCUCGGCGACUUGGGGGACUCCUACUACAUGGUUUGUAUCGCGCUUGACCAAGCCUGAAACUACAAGUAAGCUUCAAGUGAAAUUGAUACAUUACCUUGUGCAUCUCCACCAGUUAAAGAUAUCCACCCCUGGAUGGAGGAAGAGUACUUCCAGAGAAGAUGCCACAUCUACCUAUGAGACAGAUAAGGCAAGUCAAGACGACACCACACUCCGAUACUUAGAAGUUUCGUGAUUACGAGAUCAUUCUCCCACAAUAUUUCCUAAUGUCAUUUGUACUAAAAUCAUUCACUUGUACUCACUAAAUGAGAGCUUGAACCUAUGUACUUGUGUAAACCCUUCACAAUUAAUGAGAACUCUUCUAUUCCGUGGACGUAGCCAAUCUGGGUGAACCACGUACAUCUUGUGUUUGCUUUCCUAUCUCUAUCCAUUUAUAUACUUAUCCACACUAAUGACCGGAGCAAUCUAGCGAAGAUCAUAAAAAGCGAUCGUUUUCGCUACCUAGGAUCUAUCUUGCAAGAGAACGGAGAAUUAGAUGGAGAUCUCAACCAUAGAAUACGAGCUGGAUGGAAAGAGUGCAUCCGGCGUGUUGUGUGACCGUCGUAGGCCACUGAAGCUCAAGGGAAAAUUUUAUAGGACGGCAAUAAGGCUAGCGAUGUUGUAUGGCACAGAAUGUUGGGUGGUGAAGCAUCAACACGUACACAAAAUGGGUGUAGCGGAGAUGAGGAUGCUUCGUGGGAUGUGUGGGCACACGAGAAAAGGAUAAGAUUGGGAAUGAGGAUAUCCGAGGUAAAGUAGGAGUAGCUGAAAUUGUAGGAAAGAUGAGAGAAAAUCGGCUCCGGUGAUUUUGAACAUGUGCAAAGAAGGCCGACUGACGCUCCGGUUCGAAGAUGUGACUACGGGACAGAGGUUCAGGGCCGAAGGGGUAGAGGAAGACCUAGGACAACUUUGGAAGAGACUCUAAGAAAAGACUUAGAGUACUUGGAUCUAACGGAGGACAUGACACAAAACCGAACGCAAUGGCGUUCUAGGAUUCAUAUAGCCGACCCCACUUAGUGGGAAAAGGCUUUGUUGUUGUUGUUGUUGUUGUUGUUGAUUAAGCAUUAAUAUCAGCAUAAAGAAAAAUUAUUUUCUAUUUUUAAUUUGGAAAAUAAGACCUUUAGCAUAUUACUUCAUAAAUAUGUGUAUUUACUAUUUAUGCGUGCAUGCAUAUGUUUGUCUUUAUACAAUUUCAUGAUCACAUUGUACACUUCUAUGUAUCAUGUCUACCCUUUAUACACAUGAAAUAUCAUAUACAGUAAUUGCUUGUCAACACAUUCAUUAGAGCUUUACAAAUCGUUUAUCUAAUUUCUGUUUGAUAAGAUACAACAAAUUUAUCAGAAUAAAAUUUUGAUAAAAAUAGUGCACAUUAAAGCAAGAAGAAAGUAAGUUUUAAACAAGUGUCUUCCAACCUAUAGAAAGAGGGCUUCUCAAAAUUCCACCCAAAACUUUAACACUGAAAGCCUAUAAUAAGGCAACAUACAUUAUUCUACCCCUAAUUGCUACAAAUUCUUGAUGCUUGACCCAUAGCAAUUUUUCAGUGUGCAUCUCAAUAUUAACUUAGUCUUCAUCAUCCCAAGUCCUCAAAAAUGUAUACGCAAAAUAUGAGAAGUCAAAUGAAGCAAAACAAUAACUAACUUCGCUGCACAUAACAAUCUGCUCCAUAACUUAACCAAUGCAUAUGUUCAUCCAAAAGAAAAUGAUGCAUCUAUUCACCAUUCUUUCUACUGUUAAUUCACCAUUUACGAUAUAAAGAAAGGUCUGACUCACCUUCGAAGAAAAUUACUAGUGCUAAAUUUUUCAUAAGCUUUGCCCAAGGUAAAAGUUAACUUUCCUAGGAACCAGUGGAUUCCAUUAAAUCUUUAGGAAAAAAACUGAUAGAGUGACAACCAAUCAACCUUCAGAAUAAAGAGUUCCUACAAAAGAGUUCCUCAAAAUAAUUAGGGACCAAAGCCAUUAUGACUUGUUGCUCUUGAUAUGCAAUGGGUUUCUAUUGAGCACUUUCAUUUUGGGUAUUGUUGGUUAGAGACCAAAAGCUUGCAGCUCACUAAGAUAAAGUAAACGAGUAAACCAAUAUAUUGGUGGCAAUUGAUGUAUCAAAUGGUAAGAAUUAAUCUGACAAUGUGAAAAGGAUGGUGAUUUUCACACCCCAUUUACCUCCCGCACACUCUUUCGAUUUUUUAAUAUCUUUUUGCUCUUCCAUCACUUUGUCUUUAUUUUAGAGGUGGGCCUUCACCAAGAGCAAACAAAUAUUAAAAUUUUGAAAAUGUGUGGGAAGUAACAUGGGGUGUGAGAAAAUCACCACCCAUGUGAAAAAAUUAAAAAUCUUGUUAUAAUGAACCCAGUAGUGCUUAUUCUAGAACAGAAAACAAGCCAACAAACUUUGGUUGAGUACCUUGUGGGAGAAUCCUUGGUCAGAUGUCUUCCGUCCAUAUCCUUAGCAUUCUUUCUAACAUCCAAAUUUAGGUCCCCGAGCUUAGAGCAAGGUUCAAAGUCAGCCGCACAAUUCCUAGUUUUACUCAGAGAAAUGAUAUAAAUAAAUGACAACCAAAAAAGGUCCACAGAUCAAUAUCCAGAGUCACCGAAACCCUUGUUGGGAAAAACUACGGCAAAAAGUUUAAGCACUCAGAGACAAAGUACAACACAGAUAUAAUAUGGUUAUUACCUAUCAUGUGACAGAGUAGCUCCUUCACUAGUUUCAUCACAUGAUGACCUUGGGGUUGAAACAACACUUGUACAUUGUUGAACAUCAUCAUCUUCGUCGUCUGUCCCCAUAGAAGUAUUCUGAUCAUAAGUACAUAAAAUGAUGAACAUAAGAGGAACUUAAUGAUAAAUAAAAGGGUAAAUCGCCAAAAUGGUCCCUGAGAUUUGCAUAACUUAUCACUUUGGUCCCCAAGAUUCCAAAUCGAUAAAAGUGGUCCCUGAGAUUGUCCACCAUCCAUCAUUUUGGUCCUUCCGUUAAGUGUCCCAGAGCUCUUGGCCAGAAGUUUGGGCAAUUUUCAAAGCUUCGUAACUCAAUCGUUUCUUAACCAAAUUCGAUCCAUAAUAUAUCAAAAUGAAGAUAGGAAAGUGUAGAAUAAGAUUAUACCUAUUUCGAAGCCCAAUGGUUGCCGGAGAUGGCCGGAAAAUAGCCUCAAAGUUGACUGGUCCGAGCGAAAACUUGAAAACUCGCCGGAAACUGGGUAAACUUUAAACGUUCGUAACUUCUUCAAUACUCAACGAAAUCAAGUGAUUCAAAAACGAAAAUCAUACUUCUCGAUGAGACAAAGAGAAUGGUCUAGGUACCAUUCUCUUUGUCUUGUCGAGAAGUAUUUCUCUUUGUCUCGUCGAGAAGUAUAAUUUUCGUUUUUGAAUCACUUGAUUUCGUUGAGUAUUGAAGAAAUUACGAACGUUUAAAGUUUACCCAAUUUCCGGCGAGUUUUCAAGUUUUCGCUUGGACCAGUCAACUUUGAGGCUAUUUUCCGGCCAUCUCCGACAACCAUUGGGCUUCGAAAUAGGUAUAAUCUUAUUCUACACUUUCCUAUCUUCAUUUUGAUAUAUUAUGGGUCGAAUUUGGUUAAGAAACGAUUGAGUUCCGAAGCUUUGAAAAUUGCCCAAACUUCCGGUCAAGAGCUCCGGGACACUUAACGGAGUUUUUAAUGGAAAAUGAUGGAUGGUGGACAAUCUCAAGGACCACUUUUAUUGAUUUGGAAUCUCAGGAACCAAAGUAAUGAGUUAUGCAAAUCUCAAGGACCAUUUUGGCGAUUUAGCCUAAAUAAAAUAGAAGGGGAAAAAAGAACUAAUGUCACAUUGGAACACCACACCACCAAAGUUUCUCAUGCUUUACAAGAUUCUGUAAGAUCUUAUUUUCAAGUGUAGUCAAGGCUUCUUUAGGUAAAGUGACAGUCAGUACAUGCAACAGGAUUCAUACAUUACUACACAUCGUGAUUGAUCCAUAUCCUGGUCAACAACAUUGUGAUAUCACAGUUCCAACAUUUUUUCCCAGAACCCCACAAUGUUUCCAAUAAAACAGCUAGUAAGAAAAUCCGAAUCAGACUAAAAGAAGGUAUAGUUGAAAUGCUAAUUAAUGAUAAUAACACGUAAAUAUCUAUCUGACGUAAUGACUUUUAAUUUUACUCUAAGAGACUAACCAUGUGGAGAAUCUUAUUGAAAGAAACUUGUAAUGACUUUUAAUUUCAAUCUAAGAGACUAACCAUGUGGAGAAUCUUAUUGAAAGAAACUUGUAUCAUUAAUUUAUCAAAGCAAUAUUAUUUCUGAGGUUAAGACUAAGGGCCUAGGUAAGGGAACUUUUGUUGAGUACUAACAUAGUGAAUAUCACAAGCAAAACUAGUGCGAAAAAUAGUCACCAAUUCGAGAUAAAUUUUUUAAAUGAACCUACAAGAGUUACAGUGAAUGUGCUAUAAAAAGGUUAGAUUAGAAUUUGGUUUUUAAGAACUUCACAUAGGCUGUCUCGUACACUUGUGAUGUAGACUCAAGUUUUCAAACCCAAAGCGCACAAGUUUGCAUUAAUAGGCAAGGAAUUUAUAGUCCUACAUAUUGGAACUUGAAAUCAUGCACCAACUUUAUCUUCUUCUUCUCGACUGAAGCCCUUUACCUAGUGCAAGCCAGAGACAAAAUAAAGUAGUAGUACUGAACCAUUUGUGUUACUUAUAACCUUCUUCUUCUCCGUUGAAACCACUGCUCUAUACCUUUUAAGGAUAACAUUUUCCCAAUUAUUCCAUCAUUUCUCAAAGCUAACCAUGGUUAGGGACAUUAUGAGUCAGAGUAAUUAUCAAGGAAGUCAUUGAUACCCCAUCCUUCUUUCCCACUCGCGAUUACUACAUAUAUGAACCUUUUGUGGCUUUAAAAGGAAAUAUAGUAUUCAUCCAAAUAAUUUAAAUUUUUUCUGGAAAAUAAUGAUUACGUGAAUGCAAGUUGUUGCAAACAAUCUAAAACGUGGCUUUUUAUAACAACAGGAAAUAAACUAAUACUUGGUUUAGCACUGGGACUCAAAGAAACUCUAGUUCAGAACAAGAUUCCAAACAUAAAAUACUGAAGCAAAUGAUGCGGAAUACCUCCAUGAAACGGAUAUGAUACACGGGCCGCUUCUCAGGGUCUUUUGCCAAUGCAAGAAGCUUUUGAUGUAACAAGACAUCUUCCACUCUAUCCAAGUUAACAUCAAGUCCGUAACUGCGCAGAAAACAAAAUUAGUAAAAUAAAUAAAUAAUGUAGAAUUCAUAGAAUUAGGUUCAUCAUCCUCCACAUCUAAAGAAAAAUGAAACAUUCAUGCUAUGGCUCUUAUGAAGUUUUACAGUGGAAAAUAUCUUGGAAAAUAUAGUGAAUACUUUUCCCAGUAAGGUUUUAAACAAAGCUUCAACAUAACAUAAGGUCUGGAAAGGUUGGCCUUGAAAUAACAUUUCUUGACAGACCUAAGGAAAAUUUUGUGCCUCCUGGAAAGGUACUUCCAAAAAGAAUUGACUGCGAAGUGCGGAACUAAUUUCAGUCCAUACACACAUUGCAGAGUUUCAAUUGUAAACCUUUACACUAGUCACAUGGUCAAACCGACCAACUCUUACAGAAAUAAUAGGCAAGAAAACAACACUCAAACAGCACUGCCAGCUCAAAAAAUAAUCAGGUCCAUACAGAACAAAUAUUAGAUCACAUAACCAAUUUGAUAUUCAAACAUAUGCAUAAACUUAUUCGUGCUCAAACAUUAAAAACUUCACUGAUACUGCUCCGAAAGCAUAUUAACUCAAGAAAUCAAUCAUGUUGGGAUCAUCAUUUGAGACUCUAAGAGCUUCAUAAGGGUUCGUACUUCAAUAAUACGGUUCGUACCAUAAUACACCAAUCCCAAAACUACGGAGCACUGGUUAACCAAAUAUCUUCGAAGACCUACUGAAGGGUUCAUGUUGAGACACCCCUACCUAAGCACAUGAGUUUCUCUCCAACCAGGAGCCCAAUCACAAUGCUAAAGCUUCUAAAGUCCCACAUCAACCACAGACGAAAUAGGCAAUUCUCCUCAACUAUAAAAGGAGAUUGUUCUCCCACAAUUGAUCCCUGAUGAUCUUAUUUUGCUUAAUCCACUAUUAGAACUCACUAAGUAAUGAUUCUGUCUAAAUCCUUGUAUCAUGUAAACUCUCUCUACAUUAUUUAUGAGAACUCCUCCAUCCGACGUAGCCCAAUUUAAGGUGAACCAUGUAUGAUUGCUGCCCUUUUAUCCCUUAACUCUGUACAUACUCUCAUCACUAGGUGACCGAAGCAACUUAGCAAGGAUCGCAUAUUGACACUCUACGUUAUUCCAAAGUCAACCCAGUUUUGUGCAUCAACAAAUACAAUAAUGUUUUGUUCUGAAAAAACUAAUUCCAGAAAUAAAUCAAUGGCGGAAGUUCGUUAAAAUUAAAGAAUAAAAAGAAAUGAAAUGAAAAACAAUCUUAUAGAGGAAAGCGAUCGAAGGGGAAUACCUAGGCGGCAAGCGGUUGAAGUGACCGUCCAACUGUUCACGGAAUUCGGGCAGAGUCAGAGCGUCUUCAUGGCCGCUCUCCACCAAGCGGUUGUAGACAUCGUUUCGGACAUCGUAGUUACUGAAGCUGACGAAGCUUCUCGGCGGCGACGAGCUCUCUCCGACGCCCUCGGUCAAAUCCAUAGGGGAAGCUCAAGUCAGCAGGUUUUCCACGAAAAUACAGAAGAGAAGGAGGAGAAAGCGAGCUCGGAGAGUUGUCAAUGAUAAGCAGAGGAUCUUUGACUGUUGGUGGAAUCCGGGAAGAAGACGAGGAUCUGUUGGGGAUUUCGGGCGGAAAGCAGAGGGCAAUUUCGUCAUACAAAAUCACUGUAGCAUCGUGAAGUUUCUCGAGAGCGAAGGCUAGUUUGGAGGAGAGAAUGUCAUGGUUGGAGUGAGUGAGUAGAGAGACAAAAGAAGACCUCCGUCUCAGCAAGAGAAAACUUUUUCCAUUUUUUAAUUUUUUUUUUAUAUAUAUUAUAUAUCAAAUAAUGUGGAUUGGAUAUGGUUGAAAAUGUGGGACAAUAUAAUAAUGUUUUGUAGUUAAGAAAACGCCUCGGUUUUUGAUAGAUUUUUUUUCAAUGUGAUCGUAUAUACGAAACGGUAUGUUAUAUGUUGUUGUUAAAGUAAAAUAAAAUUUUAUUUUAAAUUUAUUCUCUUAACUUAUAUAAUAAUUUAUGAUAUAUGUAACCGCGUUUUGGAUAUAUUGAAAAACCACUCUUAAAUUUUGGGCACAAUUUCAUGUGAGUCACAUCAUGUUGUAUAGGAGAAAAUAUGGCCUGCUGUUUACAAGUAAUCACAUAAAAAAGCUCAUACCAUAAUUAUGACGCAAUUGUAUAUUUAUUCUUUCUCUAAUAAUGGAUUCUCAUUUUGUAGAGAGGGAAAUGUUAAGGAGACUCAUAGUUUUUUAGGAUUGUGUUAUUCACACAUCCUGUUUAUCUUUCACAUAUUCCUCUUAGUUUUUACAAUCGGACCGAAUUAAUUAAAAAAUAUUAAAAAACAGAAAUUAACAAAAAAUGUGUAGAAAGUAAAAAUAAGAUGUGGAUAACACCACCUUUUUCUUAUUGUGAGUAGCAUAUCUAAUCACUAGAAGCAUUAGAUAUAUCCUAUGGAAGUUGAAAGCAAGUGUUCUGUUUAUAAGUGCUUACAAAAUUAUUUUUUAUUUAUUUAAUACGAAAAAGAGAUUACAAAGUAGAAGUGCUUAAGAGAAUAACACACCAAAACGAUCAAAAAGCAUCUGGCACAUAUAAAGGUACCAUUAUUCCACAACUGAGAAACGUGGAACUUUAUGUCCUAGGGCGUCCGCUACAAAGUUGACCACGAAGAAAGGAAUGAGAGUCCGAAUGUCUUUGAGUAAAGUAACGAGCGUCCAUGGAAGUUGAAUAUAGUGUAGACAACAAUCAUGACAUCCCCUUCAACUUUGACAUCUCUCCACCUAUGAGUGAAGGAUAGAGACACACUUUGAUCCAGAUAUCCAGGUAGACACUAAAAUUGAGGCAUGUUGACUAACAUUUAGAAGAUCACGAAGUCAUAACAUGUAAAUAAUGUGUAGAUUGUAUAAAUAAAUUAAAGAUUAUAAAUGCAUGUAAUGAAAAGAAGAGUAUCUAAUUAUACACAGCCAAUAUUCAAAACAUAUAGGUAUGUACACGCAAUUUAAAAUUAAAAAAAAAAAAGAUUCUGGAUUGUACUUAAAAGUAACAUUCGCCUUAAAACAUUCAUAAAUUCAUGAAAAUAUGACUUGAGCUUCUCCUAUGGACAUGGAAGAUAUGUUUGGUGAUGCAUUAGAGUAUGAUCCGCAUACAUCUUUGCAUAUAAAUUGGCCAAGAUAGGAAGUCUUUGACGGAUUAUGCCGUUUACCGCAGUAGACUUCGAGUUUUAGAAGACCAUCACACUCUUUGUAAUGGUAUGGUCAAUCAGAUGGUCGAGUAAAGAGUCACUUAAUUAAUAUUGCUUGUUCUUAUGUUCCUUUAUUUUUAUUUUUAUUUUUGAAGUCGGGUAUGAUUUAAUUUACGUAAUUGUUUAAUUUUAUUUAUGUAAUUGUGUGUUUUUAUGUAAUAGUGUGCUUUUAUUUAUAUUCUCAGUAUAACAACAAGUAUAAGCACGAAGAUAAUUAUCAUUAAGAAUAUUGACAUUAAAUUACAUAAAAGCAUUGAGUAAAUAGCAAUCAUAAAAAUAUUAACAUUACAUGAGCAUAAAAGAAUUGAGUAAAUAUAAUCAUAAACGUCACUGUACGUGGCAACAUGCUGCUAGUUGAUGAUUCAGUGGUUAAGGACGGAUUACAAGGCUUUCUUCAAACUAAAAAUUGGAGGUAUCGGGUCCGAACCUUGCUACUGGUGUGGACGCUAGACUUGUGACCAGGAGGAGGCUAAAAUGUCUCUGUAAGUCUUCCCGGCCCUUGAAAGAGAUGGAUAACCGUAGCUUACCAAUUGUUAUCCGCUCUAUAACCAACGGGGAGCUCUCCGUAGCUCGUUUGACUUCAGCAGUGAAUGAAUCAAAUAUCCACGUCGAUCUGCUUGAGGUAGCUAGAUCACCCUAAUCUAUGGAAGUUUAUUAUUUCCAAAUCUAUCUACGAUUAACCCCCAAUAUUUUCAAACAUAAUAAUACUUAACGAAGUGGAAUAAAAAUAAAUAAAAUAAACUUUGAAUUUUGCUACAGAUACUCGAGGUGUACAUAUACAAUAUGUGGACAUAUAUAUACCUUGACGAGAAGCUUGAGGCAAAUAUCAUCAGACUGGGCUGCAGAGCCCUUGGUCGUUUUGUUCUUAUUUCUGGCAAAAAGAUCAACCUCCUAUACAUCAGUACAUACAAUAUUAUUAAGUAAUAUACAUGCAAUACAAAAACGAGAUAGAGAGGGCGCUUGGAGCGCAAUUGCUUGGUUGCUGCUAAUGCCGAUGAAGCAAAGGUUUUUAGAAGCUUUAUAGAAUAAUGGAUAUAAUGGAACUUGAUGACAUAUGUGAGAAUAUGAUGAACGUUAUAUUUUUGAAGCUCUUUUUAUUAUGCCGACAAAUAUAUUAAUUUAUAUUUCUGAAAUGGUUUAUAGUGUGAAUAUUGUAGAGUAAAAUUUUGGUGCAUCUGAAAAACCAUCACGUGUUAUUAUUUCAUUCAAAACUAUAACACAUGUAUUUUCUUUUUUUAUUUAAUAUUCCUAAAAGACUAACAUUUCAACUAUGUACCAAAGCUACGGAAGUUUGUAGUUUCGAAUAUAUUGGUAGCUAAAUCACCCAACUCUACAACUUCAUUGCUUCGACUUUCUUUUGGCUAACAAAACGCCAAGCCAAACGACUUUGGAUAAAUCUUUAUCCACCUGCUAACCAAUCAUUUAUGCCCAGCUCUACCAUAAGAAGGAGAGGUUGUUCCGAAAGAGAUUUGCAAAAGGUUUUGUUCCAAUAAGGAUACUACUGUUCAACUCUCCACGAAGUUACACACAAAAAAUAAUAAUAAUAAUAAUAAUAAUAUGCACUUGUGAGAAGUGCCAACACUGUGCCACGAUCCCACACAUUCAUGUUAAACCUCUUAGAAGAGCAUAGGACCAGGUUGACGUAAGGAACGUCGCUAAUCAAGACGUCUCAAAUUACUACGGUUCUAGAGUCAACGUCUGCUCUUUAAAACUAUGAGACUAGGUGUUGAAGAAGAAAAUAUCAAAUAAACAAGACUCAAUUGUGAGUACACUUGACAUGAAUUGGGACAGACCAUACGAGAUCAUUGACAUAUAUCGCCCAGGCACAUACAUACUUAAAGAUGGCAGAACACAUGAUCAUCCAUGUAAUGUUGAUCAUCUAAAGUAUUACUACAAGUAGACAGUUCAACAUACUUAGUGAAGAGUCAAUUCAGACAAACUUUGUCUCAACCUGACACCUUAAACAAUCGUACUUAGCCAAACUUUAAAACAAACCAACAUUAUAACUUAAAAGCUCAUCCAUACAUACCUCAAUGAAGUUUAAAACCACCUUCAAAAAGGAACAUGAUUCAUAAGAGCAUCAACAUAAACUUUAAACAUGAUAAAAAUUCCACGAAGACAAAUCCACAAGGUAUCCAAGUCAAUGAUCAAUCAUAUUUAAAGCCAACAUUAGUACAUAAUUUUUUUAUUUUUAAAGUCAACAAGAGAAUACAACCUAAGUUUAGGACGCAACAAUCAACAUUCUCAUAAUAAAACUAAGAGACCACAAAUUCAUUCUCAAAGCAAAGUCAAGAUGCAAUAAUCAUCUUACAAAACCAUUUUGUUUUUUUUUUUCAAUAUAUUGAAUGAUGAGGUGUAACAACCCGUCCCAAAUUUUACAAUUUUAUAAAUUUUAAAAGUGUGAAUUGAUGAAAAUGCCCUAGAGGCAAGGAUUUUGACUUCCGUUGACCAUCAAUUUGAGAGAUGUAUGACUUAUUCUUUUAGCGUAAUUGUGUAGUACUCGUUAGUACGAACGCAUAGGUGAAGACCGUUUGCGAGUCUGAAUUAUAAUGGUAUAGAUAGGGACAUUUGAAAUUGUGUUACUAAACUAUAGAUUUAAAUUUAAUUAAGCUUCCCUCAAAUGUAUGUUAAUUAUGGGACCAAUUAGAUAAAUAUUUGAGGGACCAAUCAGCAUGGGUAACGAAAAGGGGAUCAGCCAAUCAGAAAAAAAAAAAAAAAAAAAAAAAAAGAGGGAGGGGGGUGGACUCCCAACUUUCCCGUGCACCCUUGAACCAUCCCGAUUUCAAAUCGGCGAACUUUCGCCAGUUUUUUGUUGAUCACCACCAUCCAUCACCUGCAACAUCUUUCACAUCUUCCCCUCUACUAUUUCCACUCAAAUUUGGGAUUUUUUUUAAGGUCAAAACCUUGUAAAACUGUGAGGGGUGGCCGAAAGUGUUCCACGGCGAUUCUGCCGUUCCGGCGAGUUUCACCACUCAUCACCACCUCUAAUCUACUCCCCUUGGACCCAGGAACAAAGCCCAAACAACCUUGGAGGCGUCGGAGCACCGGUGACGACGAAUUAAAGCACACCCAUUCUAGGGUUCUGGUGGGUUCGUGGAAAAUUGAGGCUCUUCCAGGUCAAAUUGGCCUUGGUCAUAGGUAUGAAAGUUGCUCCACUCAUUGAGAUCUUCAUUUCUGUGAAGUUUGAGAAUUUUUAGAAAUAGUUGGAUUUUCCGACGAGUUGGGGUGGCCGACCACCACCCACUGCGGCGCGUGCGGCGGCACGUGGCCACUUUUAGGCUAAAUUAGAUGUCUUGAAUUCAGUUUUGAUAUUCGUAUAAUGUAGGUUGAUCGUUUGAAUCUAAAUUCAUUACGAUACGUUAUUUGGUAAAAAUGUGAAUCGACGAUCCAACCGUUGGAUCGUCACUAAACUUUAAUACAUUCUAGUACAUAAUAUUUAAGGACCAUAGAAACUUACGGAUUAGGAAUCUGAUGAACAAAUCUUCCUGAAUUGGAUUUGUAAGUUUAUAAAAUAAAUGUUAACCGUCAUUUAGUUUUGGCAAUUGACGGAAGUCCGACCGUUAGAUCGUAAUGAAAUUUUAGUAUGUUAUUCUAGAAGCAUAAUUUGGAUCUUUAGAAGUUUCGGAUUGGAAAUCUGAUAUGCGGAUCUUCCGAAGUGAGUUUACAGGGUUGUAGACCCAACCGUCGAUCUUUGAUCGACGGUUGACUUAUGGUCAAUGGGUCUCAAACUAUUUUAGAAUGUCCUUGAGAAUGUGUUUUAUGUGAAUUACAUAUUCUAUUGAUAAGAGUUAUGAGAUGUGAUUAUGUAAUUGUUCUAGGCGCCAAUUAUUCGAGACGCCUCAAUGCAAGUGCUAGAGAAUCAUAGUGUGGACUCUAGGUGAGUGGGUCUUUUCCUUUUAUCAUAGGUAUAUAAUUGAUAGUUCCUCAAAUGCUUCUAAAGUGAAUUAUGCAUGUUACCUACAAUUAAUUAUUGUGAACUACGAAUGGCUUAAUCCCUAUUUAGGGUACAUAGGCAGUCUAACGAUACGUUAGAUGCAGCCAUACAAUAAAUGAGACUAACUAACUGAGACAAUAGUCUUGUUUAGGGAAUUGAGUAAUGUGAGGGACAUUGGUGGAAAAUAUAAGAUUUAACUUUAUGAUUUGGUGUUUAAAUAUUGGUCAUAAAUCAAUGAAUGAAGAAUCAGGAAUUUGAAGUAAGGAAACGUAAGUAAUGAUGGUUAAUUAAACUAGUAUCUAGUAGGGCUUACCAUUGAUAAUUAUCUCCGAAAAUAAGUAGUUCGGGAGUAGGGCGUUAUAGAUUAUGCAUUUCACACCAUGUUAUAUAUAUACUUGAAAAUACUAUGUUAUAGUUGAGUUUUAAAUUGCAUCAUGACAUAUUUAUAUGUGUAUCACCUAAACCUAAUUAUUGUGAAUGCUUCGAAGUGCCAAAUGAUGUUGCGGACGCCCAGGUAAGCUUCAGGUGAGUACACGUUGAUGAUAGUGAUGGUAGUGAGAUAUGUGAUGAGAUAUUAAUUGGCUAGCAUGUUGAUGAGAUAUUGAUUUAGCCGUACAGUUCACGUGAGGUGACUCUGGCUAGUAUAUUGAUGAGAUAUGUGAUGAGAUAUGGAUGAUGAGAUAUUGAUUUAGCUGUACAGGUCACAUAAGGUGACUCCAGCUAGUAUAUUGAUGAGACAUGUGAUGAGAUAUGGAUGAUGAGAUAUUAAUUGGCUAGCAUGUUGAUGAGAUAUUGAUUCAGUCGUACAGGUCACGCUAGGUGACUCCGGCUAGUAUAUUGAUGAGAUAUAUUAAGAGAUAUAAAUAAAGUUGUACAUGUCACUAUAAGUGACUCUGACUUAUAUGCUAGCAAUGAUUAAUAAGAUAUAUGAGGAGAUAUAAAUAAAGCUGUAUAGGUCACUAUAAGUGACUUCGGCUUAUAUGCUAGGAACGAUUAAUGAGAUAUGUGAGGAGAUACGGAUAAGUUGUACAGGUCACUAGAGGUGACUCCGACUUAUAAGCUAGCAUAUGUGACGAAUAUGUGAUAAGCUAGCAUAUGUGAUAAAUAUGCGAUGAGCUAGCAUAUGUGAUGAAUAUGUGAUAAGCUAGCAUAUAUGACGAAUAUGUGAUAAGCUAGCAUAUGUGAUAAAUAUGUGAUAAGCUAGCAUAUAUGAUGAAUAUGUGAUAAGCUAGCAUAUGUGAUGAAUAUGCGAUGAGCUAGCAUAUGUGAUAAGCUAGCAUAUGUGAUGAAUAUGUAAUAAGCUAGCAUAUGUGAUGAAUAUAUGAUAAGCUAGCAUAUGUGAUGAAUAUGUGAUAAGCUAGCAUAGGUGAUGAAUAUGUAAUAAGCUAGCAUAUGUGAUGAAUAUGCGAUAAGCUAGCAUAUGUGAUGAAUAUGCGAUGAGCUAGCAUAUGUGAUGAAUAUGCGAUGAACUAGUAUAUGUGAUGAGAUACAGGUAAGUCGUACAGGUCACCAUAGGUGACUUCAACUUGGGUACUAGCAUGAGUUAUUAAUCACAUGAUUAUUUGAUAUUGCUAACGAGAUGCUGUCUUGUGGUAUAUUUAUGAUAUUUUCUGAAAAUUAUACAGGUGUUGUAGCGAGGGGUUAUAAUGUUUUAAAUGGUUUCUAUUAAAAUUUAUUCACAGGGCUACUCACCUUUGUCUUGUCUUCACCCUCCAGGUUUUAUUAGCUGAGUUUUCUUAUCGUUGAAGAUUCGUGGCGGUUCUUGGUAUUGAAGAUUAUUUCGAGGGUACAAUUCUUAAUUCACUCUUAUGUACUUGCUUAUGCUCUAACAUUACGUGUGAAGUAGAUUCAUUCCCGCUCACCGGUGUACUCUGGUAUUUAGGCACUCUUAGGUUUUAAAUUAUUCACAUUUUUCCACAUCAUCACACUUUAUGGAUUCGUCACCUUCCAGGUGUCGGCCAGCACAGUUCGAUUCGGAGUCCUAGUAAACAUUCCGGGUCGGGGUAUGUUAUGAGGAGUGGCUAGGUUAAAGUUGUGGGGCAAUAUGUUAUGAAAGAAGCAGAAGCGAGAAUGUCAACUUGAGUAACAUAAACAUUGGUGAUGGGUUCUCCAUUAAUUUUCAUUUCUUCUAUGCAACGCGGGAUAGGUCAACAUGGUAGCUUGAUAUAGAAGAAUAUAUUUUGUGUUUUAGAAACAAAUUUUUUGUGAGUCACGUCGUAUUUUAUACAAAAAAAUGUGGGCCAUGAACUGCUAUUUACACAUAAUCACAAAAAUAAAUAAAUAAAUUCAUGCCAUGAUUAUGAUGUAGCUCCACAACUAUAAGCUUAUCUGGGAUGCAUUCUGAUAAGCUGACGAACUAGUGUACACAAUUGUAUUUUCAUUUGUUCGAAUAACUGGAGUUGAAUUUUGUUUAGUAUUAUCAUGUUUAUUUUUAUUUUUAUUUUUUACCUUAAGUAGCAUAUCCGGUUACUAGAAGCAUUACACAUAUCUUAUCUAUUUUCAUGUAAUGAGAGUGUGAGGCAAGUGUUUUGUUUAAGAAAAUGUUGAUAAGACAACUUUAUUUGGUACGGGAAAGAGAUUACAAACGAAAACACCUAGGGCGUAAUAAAGGGUAGAACUUGCAUAGGAAAAUUCUAUUCGAACCAAAAAGUUAUCAAAUAUUCUAUCCAAUUUAAAUAUGAAUCCAUGAAGUUUCGAAAUCCGAAAAAUUAAAAAAUACUGGAUAAGAACAGGAAUACAAUUUGCAAUUUGUAUAACAAUCUGUCCUUAAUUUUAAGAUUUUAUUAAUUUUAAAUGUGUGAAUUAAUCAAAAUGUUCUUAAAGGUUAGAUUGUUGACUUUCGUUGAUCGUUAUCUUAUAAUACAUACAAGCUACUAUUUUACUGUAUUUGCAUAUUACUCAUUACUACGAAUGUACAUGAUAAAGAUUUUACGAAAUUACGAAAUCAGGAGGUAUUUUAGCAGAUUCACUAUUCUGGAUAAUUUUUUCCUUAUUAUUUUAUAUUUUUCUGGUGGAAUUUUGUGUCUUGUGGAACCCAUACCCCACUUCUUCCUUGUCCCCGUGUCCCAUUUUCGCCAUACUUCUUGGUCUCUCUCAUUUCAAUCUCUCUCUUUGCCUUGUCACUCCAUCUCUUCUUCUGCCACCUUACCACCACCUACUCUCUCUCUCUAAAAAUCUCUCAUCUCUCACUCUCCAUUUAUUUGUCUCUCGGCAAACACCGAAUGGGUGCAAUGGCAACGCCAUCAUCGCCGCUAACCUUGUUACCCUGACGAGAUUUACGAGUUUUCCAGCCCAGAAACUAGGAUCUCAUACUGCCAACUCAACCCAGACAUGAACUUGCGCUGCUAGUGGUCGCUGCACUGUUCACUGUGUUCUCUGGCGAGGUUCUCAAUUUUUUUCGACUAAGGUGUGAUAAUACACCACUAAUAAUACCUUCGAAGAACUCACAGAAAGAUACAGAGAUCAAAGAGAAAGAAGAAGAGAAAGAAUAGAGAAAGAAACUGUAUUGAUUUGUGUAUAUUCCUUACUGAAUUACAAUAUCUGUUAUUCAGUUAUUUAUACAUGGAAUCCAAACUUAGCUAGUAAGCUAUUCACGUAACUAACUAACUAACAUAAGCUGAAUUGGCUGUCUAUCUGACCCUUGAAUGUUGUAAUGAGUUGGCAGUUCAUCUAGCCAUUGAUUUAUGAUACUCAACAUUCCCCCUCAAUCGUGGCUGGGGUACUCAGCCUAAGAUUGUAACAAUGUCGAAGAAAGGCAAGGCUGUGAAGACCUUUUGUAAGAACAUCCGCAGUUUGAUCUUCAGUUGGAAUGUAAACCACCUUCAGAUCUCCUUGUUGAACACGUUCUCUCACAAAAUGAAAGUCAGUAUCAAGAUGUUUGAUACGAGAAUGAAAAACAGGAUUUGCAGUAAGGGCAAUGGCUGACAUAUUAUCACAAUGAAUUAUGGGAGGUGAAGGCAUACACACUUCUAAAUCCUUUAGGAUUCCCCUUAUCCAAGCAACAUCAGCUGCGGUAUGGGCAAGAGCCUUAUAUUCAGCCUCAGUUGAGCUUCUUGAUACUGAACAUUGUUUCUUUGAUUGCCAAGACACGGGAUUGUUGCCUAGAUACACUACAUAUCCUGUGAUUGACCUUCGAGUAUUGAGAUCAGCUGCCCAAUCAGCAUCUGAAAAAGCAGUGAUUGUCCUUGUCGUCAUUUGAUUAGCUGAAUAUAAUAUCCCAUGGUGCAGUGUACCAUGAAGAUAUCUGAGUAUUCGUUUCACUGCUGCAUAAUGCCUUUAUGUCGGAGAACUCAUGAACUGACAUACUGUAUUAACCGCAUAUGCAAUAUCGGGCCUAGUCAAGGUCAGAUACUGCAACGAUCCGACGAUACUCCUAUAAAGCGAUGGAUCAGACAUUAAAGAACCAUCAGAAAAUAGCAUUUGAUCAUGAGGUUUGCAUGGAGUAGCAGCAGGUUUACAUGUGUCCAUACCUGCCUUAUGGAUCACAUCCUUUAUAUAUUUUGAUUGAUGCACAAAGAUAUCCCUAUUAUUCUUAUACGAGAACUGCAAUCCCAGAAAAAAUGUCAAUUGUCCCAUAUCCUUAAGAUCAAAGACUUCAGAUAACUCAUCAAUCAUCUUUUGAAUCUUGAUAGAAUUGGAACCGGUCAAUAUAAUAUCGUCAACAUAAAGGAGAAGAAUAACAAUAUCCCCAUCAUCCUGCUUGAUAAACAAACUUGUAUCAGAAACUGAAGCCUGAAAAUUCAUGGCAGUCAAGUAAGAUGUGAACUUUGAAUUCCACACCCUUGGAGCUUGUUUCAAACCAUAUAGGGAUUUGAUUAAUUUGCACACAUGAGUGGGAUGGGAUGCAUCGACAAACCCUUGUGGUUGUUUCAUGUAAAUCUCUUCUUGCAAGUCACCGUGCAAGAACGCAUUUUUAAUGUCAAGCUGUCGAAGUUUCCAAUGGUUACUUGCUGCUAAGGCCAAUACAAUCCUCACCGUAGUAUGCCUCACUACCGGACUAAAGGUAUCCAAGUAAUCAAUACCUUGUUCCUGAGAAAAUCCUUGAGCCACAAGCCGUGCUUUAUACCUGGAAACACUGCCAUCAGGAUUUUUCUUCACUUUAUACACCCAUUUGCUGCCAACAAUAGAUCUGUCACUUGGAGGUGGUACUAGAAUCCAAGUGCCUUGACUUCGAAGGGAAUCAUAUUCUUCUUGCAUCGCUUGCUGCCAUUGGGGUAGUGAAGCAGCUUUUCUAAAUGUAUUUGGUUCAGAGGUAUCAGUGAUGGCAGAAAUAAAACUAUAGCCUCCACUAAAACAAUCGUCUUCAGUGAGCUGCAAAGAUUGCAACUCAGGAAAUGAUGUUAUAAAUGCAGUAUAAUCUCGUCUUUGAAUGACACCACUUUUCAACCUUGUUACCAUCUGGUGAACAGACUCAGAAGGAUUUAUAUUAUCAGAAGGAUCUGUGGUAAUGAAAGAUUCAUUUUGCGAUGAAAAUGGCAAGAUUACCUGAAGUUGGGAAUCUGAAUGGACAGGCAACACUGAUGAUGUACCAGAGUGAUGAUGAGGGGAAUAAGACUCUUGAUCUCGCUGUGAAACCAAAACUGACUCCCUAGAAUCUCUUGAUUGUGACUCAAUUACAGUAUUCAUAACUGGUGUAGCCGAUGACACUGAAUUGCCUUCUUCUGGAAUACCAUGAUCAUCAUGCUGUACAUUGGGAGUAUUUGAAGCUAGAUGAGGCAUUCGAAUAGCUAUAUACUGUUGAUGAGACUUUAGAGAAAUUCCUGAAUUGACACCUUUGGUACAAGAAUCUAGUUGAAAAGGAUAAACAUCCUCAUCAUGUAUAACAUGCCUUGAAAUAAUGAACUUCCUACUAUGAAUAUCAUAACAUAGCACUCCUUUGUAUCCCAUUGCAAAUCCAAGAAAAACACAUUGACUUGAUCUAGCUUGUAGCUUAUUUCGAUUAUAAGGUCUAAGAUAUGGAUAUAUUGCUGUCCCAAACACUUUAAGAUUGUGGAUUGCAGCAUUGUCACCAAACAAAAUCUGAUAAGGUGACUUAUGAUCCAAACCUUUGCAUGACAUCCUAUUUAUCAAAAACGCAGCAUAUGAACAAGCAUGAUACCAAAACACAAUAGGAAUUGAAGCUUCUGUCAUCAAACUUAAAGCAGUUUCAACUAAAUGCCUAUGCUUCCUUUCUGCAAUGCCAUUCUGUUGAGGUGUAUAAGGACACGAAAUCUGAUGCAGAAUACCUUUUUGAUCCAGAAAACCUUUCAUCAUACUAUUGGCAUACUCACCACCACCAUCAGUUUGAAAACAUUUAAUUGAACUGUUAAACUGUGCCUGAACAAAAGCAUAAAACUUGGCAAAAAUCGGAAACACAUCUGAUUUAUUUAUCAUUGGAAAAAUCCAUACAAAUCUUGAGAAGUCAUCUACAAAGCUGACAUAAUACCUAUACCCUUCUAUAGAUCUCUGUGGAGAUGGUCCCCAAACAUCUGAAUGUAUCUUUUCAAAUUUAUGUGUUGCUCUAGCUUGUUUUACAGAAAAAGGUAAUCUACACAUUUUCCCUGAAAUACAAGCUGUACAAAUAGUAGAAGAGAAAUCUUUAUGAACUGAUAUACUCGCAUUUUUCAACAUUGUAGACAGUACUUCUUCAUUUGGAUGUCCCAAUCUCUUAUGCCAUAUUGAACUUGUCACUUUCUUUCCAAGAAAUGCUCCACAGUGCUCCAACUUUGCAGCAAAUGAACCCUUAAAGACAGAUACUGGUAUCUUGAACAAUUCCCCAUCAUCACUCUUUCCUUGGUACAAAAUCACUCGGGUUGCCUUGUCCUGUAUAAAGAACACCAAAAUCAUCACAAAUAAACCAACAUCCAUUAUCUCUACAUAAUUUCUUAACUGACAACAGAUUCAUGGCAAUAAGUGGAACAUGUAAUACAUUAUUUAGCACAAAGGUAUGAGUAUCAGUAACAAGUUCAGAAGCACCAAUAUUCUUAACAUUCAAACCUUCUCCAUUUCCUAUGGUGAUUUUAGAGUCACCAUUGUAAGGAGUGGCCUGAUUAAGAUGUUCAAGAUGAGCUGUCAUAUGAUGAGUGGCUCCUGUGUCAACCACCCAAGUAUCGGCAUUAGAAAAACCAUGGACAUUCUGACUUGCUUGUGGCACAUUUGAUGUUUGAGCAGCCAUUCCCACAGGUGUGAGAUUCAAUGAUUGUGGUGGAGGAGGUCCUUGAUAAGAGUAAUUAUUCCUGUGAUAGCACUGUAUAGCUGUAUGACCCUUCUUACCACAUAUCUGACAGAAAAUGGGACCUUUAAAAUUUCCUUGAGCACUAUCUGUCCUGUAAUAGCAAUUCGGUGCAGUAUGGCCUCUUCUUGAACAAAUUUGACAUUCUGGAGAUAUGCCAUAUUUGUAGUUUGUAUUGCCAUGCCAACUGCUUCCUUGGUUAAAUCCACUUCCACUUGAAAAGUUACUGGAACUACCAUAAGAACCCUUUUGAUUGUUAACAGAACCAUUGAAACCACCACCUGAACCAUAAGAAUCACUAAACCCAUAAGACCUAUUCCCAAAGUUGGAAUAAGAUCUUGAAUUAUUGGUAUUACCAUUGUUUCUCCUAUUACUGUUAUUGUUGAAAUUCGACCUCUGUUGGAAAGAUAUUCCACCAUUUGCAGCAAAACCUGAACCCCCAUUAAAAUUGCCUGGACCAUUAAGCUUCUAUGCAUUCGAGCUUUCACCUUGUUCAAAAUUCUGAUAUCUUCCUUGACCUCCUUGUCCAUUUGGCAAAUCACCAUUAACAUACAUUGCCGACAUGGUUCCAGCAAGAUUAUUCAUUCUUGUUUCAAAAGAACCCUCAACACCAAUUAACUGAGCCCUGAAGUCCUUUAGAGAUAUAAGUGUAUCCCUAGCAAGAAUUAUAGUCUUGAUAACUUCAAACUCUGGUGGCAGUCCAGAAAGUACAGCAAUCAUCAAAUCAUUAUCAGUUAUCUUCUCCCCUGCAGCCACAAGCUGAUCUUUAAUAGCCUUCAGCCGAAACAAGAAUUUAUCAACUGAAUCAGAACCCUUUUGUGCAGUGUGAAACUCAGUUUUCAACUGAUUGACCCUCACAACAAAAAUCGAGGCAAACCGUUCAUGUAACUUCUCCCAAGCCUCCUGUGCAGUCUUGCACCCUAUCACAUGAUACAUCACUUCAUCACUUAAUGUAGCAAUGAGUAAACUCAGUAAUGCCAAAUCUUGCUGAAUCCACUGUUUGUAAGCCUGAGAUAUCUCCUUUGUAACACCACCUUCAGCCGUAAUACAAUACUUCGGAGGACAUUGUGAUUCCCCAUUGAAAAAAUCAAACAAAUCAUAUCCACGAAGAACAGACGAAAACUGAUAACUCCAUUUCACAAAAUUAUCCUCAUGCAAUUUUACAGUAAUCAUACCAAGUAGACCUUCAAUCUUUACUGAAUUUAUAGCCAUUUUGCAAACACCAAGAAGAAAUACAAAUGCAGUACCCGAAAUUCUUGAUUAACAGACAACCAAUCUUGAAUCUUGACACACAACUCUCACUUCUGACUUCGGCCUUCUAUGAAGUAAGAAACUCAACAGACAAAAAAACUCCGCAUUCUUUCAAUUUUUAAUUCUUCAGCAAUCAACAAUCUUUCAAUUAAACUUCUUCUUUCAUACUUCUAAUCUUUUAAGUUUGCAGCAAUCAACAAUAUUUCAAUCAAACUCCUUCGUAAACAAUAUGCACCCAACAAUAUUUCGCAUCCACACCAAGCAAUUCAUAUAUUUUCACUGAAACAUUAUAUCAAACAGUUCAUCUAGCCAUUGAUUUAACAAAAUUAUCCUCAUGCAAUUUUACAGUAAUCAUACCAAGCAGACCUUCAAUCUUUACUGAAUUUAUAGCCAUUUUGCAAACACCAAGAAGAAAUACAAAUGCAGUACCCGAAAUUCUUGAUUAACAGACAACCAAUCUUGAAUCUUGACACACAACUCUCACUUCUGACUUCGGCCUUCUAUGAAGUAAGAAACUCAACAGACAAAAAACUCCGCAUUCUUUCAAUUUUUAAUUCUUCAGCAAUCAACAAUCUUUCAAUUAAACUUCUUCUUUCAUACUUCUAAUCUUUUAAGUUUGCAGCAAUCAACAAUAUUUCAAUCAAACUCCUUCGUAAACAAUAUGCACCCAACAAUAUUUCGCAUCCACACCAAGCAAUUCAUAUAUUUUCACUGAAACAUUCUAUCAAACAGUUCAUCUACAAGCUUCAAAACACAAAGAAAGACAAGGAUCGAGAAUACCCGAAAGCCGAACUCCUGAAACAGAAUGAAAAUUCCAAGAGAAAUCCAGAACUUCUUCACAAUUACACCUCCUGAUGCUCAAAUCUCAGCGGAAGAACCCAAAAAAAAAAAAACACCAACCAUGGCUCUUGAUACCAUGAUAAUACACCACUAAUAAUACCUUCGAAGAACUCACAGAAAGAUACAGAGAUCAAAGAGAAAGAAGAAGAGAAAGAAUAGAGAAAGAAACUGUAUUGAUUUGUGUAUAUUCCUUACUGAAUUACAAUAUCUGUUAUUCAGUUAUUUAUACAUGGAAUCCAAACUUAGCUAGUAAGCUAUUCACGUAACUAACUAACUAACAUAAGCUGAGUUGGCUGUCUAUCUGACCCUUGAAUGUUGUAAUGAGUUGGCAGUUCAUCUAGCCAUUGAUUUAUGAUACUCAACAAGGUGAAGAUAGGAACUCUCUAAUCUGUUCUUUAUGGUUAUAUUAGUUUGAUUUAUGGAUUAUUUAUGCGAUUUGAUGACGUCUAGUGCAGUUUCAACCGGGGAAGAUUUCCCAAAAAAUUGGUGAGGAAAACCGUGGCCAUCAAGCCACUUGUAGACGUUUUUUCCUGCUAUCUCCGGCCUCUGUCAAUCCUCGAUUUUGGUAUAGACCUGUUCCUUGAUUCCUACCUUCACUUUGGCUUUUAAACCAUUAAAUUCAGUUGAGAAUUGAGCUCGAAAUGAGCUCUGAAAGUCUGAGAAAAAACCUGCAAAACUGCAGGAACUCGUGAGGAAGACGAGUACAAGCGUACUCGGGGGCACAUGGAUGCAUGAGGGUGGUCGGCGCAUGCAGCGCGUGGCUGCUGUGCAUCCACGUUGUGACGACACGUGGCUGUCUAUGCAGCCACCUUGUGACGGCGCGUGGAGGAAUCCGAGAUCCCGCCUUAGGUUUCUCAACGUGCAGAAUCCGAAUCCGUCUUUUGUUUUCCAAAUUUGAUCGUUUUAAAAUAAUUUCUUUAUUAGCCAUACUUUGUAUGAAUACGCGAAUUUACAUUAGUUUGUUAUAUAUUUACAUGAAUGGUUUUGUUUCUAGGUGAAACGCGUCACAAGGAUCUUCAAUGCCCGCGAGGCAGGUUCGAGCCGACGACAUGAUUUGUGAGUGGGUCUUUGUUUUGGAAUAUUAUAUAUUUAUUUAGUUUCCACAUAAAUAUUUGAUAAAUAAUUUUUUACGUUACGCCUAUAUUAGAUUAAUAUUUAUAAGAAUUAGCAUAUUGACGGAAUUUGCUAAAUCCUACGGGAUGCACAUGUAUGCAUACUAUUAUGAGAUUUUAUUUAUGGCCAUGUUUAAUAGUUUAUUGAAUAGUAUUAUGUCGACUAGAAUUAUCGAUUUGCCGUUGUAUAAUCAUAUUUACAUUAUAUGCUCAUUGUGUGCUACACUGGUGUUAGUACUCACCCGGGCUAGGGUCAGUCUUCACGUGUAUGUUCACAUCGUACCGUACGCUCACUUUGGAUCCAUUGUAGGUGACAAUCCUGUCCUAGAUUGCUAUAGGCAAUUAGGACUCGUGUGUUAUGAGGAUAGCGCCAGUCUUCAUGUGAUUAUAGUACUAAAGCGUAAAUCAUUAUUACACCCAAUCAUAUUUAUGUCAAAAUACCUCUACAUAAACUUGUGUGUUAGCAUAUGUCAAUAAGCACUCGAUGUGAUGUGUUUAUUUACCAAAUAUUGUGAAGUAGUGCAUUCUAGGGAUAUUAUGGUUUACGGUCAGUAUUUUCAUACUAUACGUAGUAUGUUAUAUUUGGAAACUAUAUUUGUUUUACGGUGAGGGGUUAUUACAUUUUCGAAAAGGUUUUACAAAGCUUUAUUUUGAUGCUCACUCACCCUUGUUUUUCACCCAUUUAGGUUUUAGUAGCUAAGCUUUUGUGCCAAUGAGGAUUAUUGACAAAUCUUGGUAUCGGUGAUUACCUUCGAUGAUAUAAUUCUCAUUCUACCUUUACUAUAUUUUACUUAUACUCUGACAUCACGUGUGAAAUAAGUUCAUUCCUGCUCACAUGCGCACUCUUGCAUUUAGGCACUUUUAAGCUUAAAUUCAUUCACAUUUUCCAUCUCAUCACACUUUAUAGUUUCAUCACCUUUCAGAUGUUGACCAGCAUAGCUCGAUUUGGAGUCCAGAUGGACAUUUCGGGUCAGGGUGUGUCAAUUUGAAUAUUCAAAAAUAUUGAAAAAUAAGGAAUGUAUUUGAAUAUUUUGAUUCAAUUUGAAACUUGCCUAAAUCUAUUACAUACACUUGCUUAUAUACUUGGUUUUAUUUUAGGAAAAUUUUAUUUGAACUCAUACAACCUCUAACUACAUCCAACUUACUCUCUACACCCAUAUUAAUUUUAAUUCAAGAAUCAAUAUAUUUUUAAAUCCAAAUUUACUAACUAAAAUACCCUCACGAACUCAAUUUAAUAUGUAAAUUUGACUUUACACCUAUUUGAAAAAUAAAACCCUAAAAUUAAACAUUUGUUGUGUAGGUCAUUAAAGUUAGAAUGUUAUAUUGUAAUUCCUCGAGACAAACCAAAUAUUGAGCCUUAUACAUUUGGAAAGAUCUAGAUGUCUAGUUUACGAAGAAUUUUACGGUUCGUGAUUCCGAUUUUUCUAGGAGAUGUUAUUAUUAUUUUAGUGCAGACAUCACAAAAUCAAAGAUUUGUUGCGCAGAUCAGUGAAGUUUGAAUAAUUAAAUUGUAAUUCCUCGAGAUGAACCAAAUAUUGAGCCUUAUAUGCUUGGAAAGAUCUGGAUGUCUAGUUUAUAGAUAAUUUUACAGUCUGCGAUUCCAAUUUUUCUAGGAGACGUUAUUUUAGUGCAGACAACACAAAAUGAUUAUUUCCUACGAAUUUUGUUGAGAUUUUAGAAAUUUAGUUGCAUCUAAAUCAGAAGGCCAACGAGUGUUGUUUCCUUGAUCAUGGAGUAAGAUUAUCUUCCCUCUUUUUUUCCCUCUCCUUCCCUCCCCUCUUAUUUAAACAAUCACAGUUAAGUCACGUCAACAUAAGAAUGAGAGGGGAGAGAAUCCAAAUUACUUGAUCAUUGGGGAGAGAAUGUUUGAAAGUUACUUGGGCCUCAUUACCCAUCUCAUAAUUAUACGAAGGAGAGGGGAGAGAAUCCUAGCAGCUCGAGGUGACCACAAUAUUAUUUAAUAUUUUAUUAUACCUUUAAUCAUUAUUUAAAGUGGUAGGAUUACAUAAGCUACACUAAAUUGCAUAUCAUUGUCGCUCCCCGCAAUGUAAAACCAUUAUCACUAAACUUAAAAAUCAAAUCAAAUUGGAAUCUUAAACAACAAUGUUGAAUUUUGUUAUCAUUUUUCUCCAUUUAAAACUAAAGUUUCGAAUUUUACGCAAAGCCUCCAUCAACCAACCAUUCUAAAGUAUUAGCAUUCAAUCCCUCUGUCUAACAAAAAAAAAGGCCACGGUAAAACUUAAGAUAAGAGCACUUUUAUUAUGAAGUCUCCACUUUUCACUUUGAUAUUGUCGGCCAAGAAAGAAACCCAUCAUUAUGUUUUUUCAAUAUCAUUAUCUAUCUAAAUAUUUUAUUAUUAUUAUUUUAUGAUAUUUGUUAACGUGUGUCCUAGAGUAUUGUGACUACCAUUAAACUAUGUCACUUAUACAACAUGUGAUUUACCACACGAUUGAAUAAAUUAUUUAUUUAUAGAAGGCACAUAGUACAAUAUUUUGUCUUGACAAACUUUGUCAAUUUGAUUUAUUCAUUAUACGGUUGUACUUAUACUAUCAUUUAUAGGAAUUAUUGAGCAACUAGAUCCACUGAUCAACAUUGUUGCUGAUUAAAGAAGUCUACCAAUUUAUAGACUGAUGAGCCACAUGCUCAUGGUGACAAAGAUUCAGUCCGGACGGUGAUCUCUUGUUUGACCGGACACCCACUUGCUCGGACAUUCGCUUAUUGGGACACCUAUGUGCCUGGACCCAACUCGAUGACCCUACAGAUAGCCCCAACUCGAUGACCCUACGUAUGGCCUCGACUCAAAGACCCGACUUGCGUACCCGAUCCGCGGAUCCGACGCAUAGACCCAAUAUGCGAACCCAACAAGCGGACCCGAAUCAUGUAGAAUCAACUCAUACUGAGUGCAUGUCGACAUAAAGUAGAUACUUGCAAUGAGGAAUACCACAAGCCGAGCCGUCUCGUAGUGAGCAUAGCCUUUAGCCAAGCCGCCUCGCAACGAGCAUCGCCUCCAGCCGAGCAAACGCCUCGCCGCGAGCAUAGCUUCUAGCCGAGCAGCCUCGCAACGAGCAUCACCUCCAGCCGAGCAAACGCCUCGCCGCGAGCAUAGCUUCUAGCCGAGCAGCCUCGCAACGAGCAUCGCCUCCAGCCGAGCAGUCUCAUAACGUGUGAUACCUCUAGCCGAGUAUUGCUUUAUGUUGAGCAUUGCCUUGGGUUGAGUACUGGUUCAAGACAUCUAGCCACUUUGGCCCUUACAUGGAUUGGAUUUCAUGUCUCCAGCCAAAAGACUCUUUUGAUUGAAGACUUGGGAGACUGCUGUUGGUACCACACAUAUUGGGCCUCAGACUUUGACACAUUGGGCCUCAACAUUUGGACCUCAUUACCCAGACCAUAAUUAUGUAAAAGGAAGAGCCCCUUAUUCUAUAAAAGGGGACUCCUCCCCCCUCACAAAUUAGACUCUGGGAUACCCCCAAAACAUACAAGUCUCAAACAACUCAGAGACAACACUCUCUUCCUCAGGGGGACUCCCCUUGAGCUUGUAAUCCAUACAUACAGUUACAGAGAAAUACAAUCAACAUCAGUGUGGACGUAGCCCAAACAUUGGGGUGAACCACGAUACAUCUUUGUGUUCUUGGGCGUUUGCAUGAUUCACGGUCAAGUUUACGUUGUUCCAAGACCUUCCGGUUUUAUGCAUCAACAAAUUCCACAGAUCGUGAUCCACCAUAAUCAAAUUUAAUCAAACAUUAUGCUAAAUAUAUUAUACACCAAUAAAAACGAAUUCUACUUCAGAUGAGGACCAAGAAUUUCUCCAAUGGCUAAAAUGAAUUUAAUUUAGAAGUAAAAGAUGCAAUUUAAAGGAACAUACACUUAUUUUUCUUUAUGAGAGCUCUUAGGAUUUUAGUGAGGAUGAAUGUGAGAUAAAGAUUGGUGAUGGUAGGAUUUGAUUAUUGGAUAUGUGUUUAUUAAUAAAUUUUCAUUUUUUUUUGUUAAUUUCAUCAUGUACUUGAUGAUAAUUAUGCAAUAGGGUAAAAAAUGCAAUUCACAUUUAAAAUUUAAGUUGAGUGUAGAAAGAAGUUAAAAUGGGUUCAACUAAAAUUUUCCUUUAUUUUAUAUAUGUUUCAUUUGUUAUUUGUUAUAGAUAAGACUCAAGUAUGAUUCUAACUUUUUUACAAUUAUAUCUCCCUUAAAUAUAUUACAUACAAAAGAGAGAACUAAAGAUAUAUAUAUUAUGUUUGGACACAACCCACAACAAAAGUUGGCUUUCCAAAAGAUAUGUUUGAAAGUUACUUCCUCAAAGAAAGAAAUAUACGAGGCCGAAUAUUUUUGAGAAAAGCAAUGAGUUCAUGGUUGUUGAAUCUACGGUCAAGUGACUCUUACAAUAGUGCUAUUACUUGUAAUAAAAGAAGGAAUGCUACAAUAUAUAUAUAUAUUAUAUACUUUGAUCUAAUGAAAAUAUAAAAUAGUCCAUAAUGAUUUUUUUUUGUUGGUUAAAAUCAUAUAUGUUGUUAAUCACCAAAUCAAUUGAUCUCCCAAGACCAUCUCCAAUGGUAAGCUAAAACCUGAAAUUUCUUCCCCCCCCCCCCCCCCCCAACAAAAAAAAAGCCACUUCAACCCAUGACCUAAAAUUAACCUAAAACCUAAAACCCAAAUGGAGGGCAAAUACCGGCCCAAUUAUUGGCCACAAAGCAAAAUGGACCCCACCAAUUGAGACUGAAACCGGGGCUGUGAAGUCCACUGCCCACUCCCUACUCGCCUACGCGUUGUACGCGCUAGGCUUUCUCAAAAUUUUGUACCAACCCACGUGGGGUUGUUCCCCAUUGUCACACCACCAACACUACCACCGCAUUCUCUCUCCAUCACCCACACCACCAUGACCACCAUCACCGUCAAUCCUUCACCAUCGUCACCACCAAUGCCACCACCUCCCACCACCAUUAUCGCCACAACCACAUCCUCCACUACCAUCACAGUUGGGACCAAGGCCAC